ACUGAACUAAAAAUGGAAUAGUAAUAUUGUAUACAUUUUUUAUUUUUUAAAAAACUUCAAAUACCACCCGUGAUUUCGCACUUUUUCACUUUAGUAUCACGUGGUUUAAAGCAUAUCAAUUUAAUACCCUGUGGUUUCAUUUUUUUUCUUUUCGUUAGCCUCUUCGUUAACUUUUCGUUAAAUCAUAUAUGAAAAACUACAGAUACUCCAUUUAUAGUUUAUCGAAUAUUCACUUUAAUAUUCUUUAGUUUUAACUUUGUCACUAAUUUAACGAAAAAAAUUAGUGGAUGGAGUAACAAAAAGAGAAAAAUAAAAUCACAAGAUACGAAAGUGAUACAUUUUAAACCAUGGGAUACUAAAAUGAGAAAAUGUGAAAUCAUAGGGGUGGUAUUUGAAGUUUCCCUUUUUUUUUAUUAUUAUACUUAUUUAAUGGUAAAUUUUUAUGGUAAAAUAAAAUUAAGUCACUCCAAGGAUAAUUAAAAGUUUUUUCAAAAGAAAAAAAAAAGUAAGAAAAAAUUGAUGGGCCCCACAUUGAGGGGGAUUCGCCAAGCCCCAAAAAAAACGUCGUGGGACCCACCACGAGCGAAAGUAUCGUGGCCCCACAUCACGAGACCUCUGUGUGUGUUGCUGUGUAGGUCAUAAUUUGGGUCCCAUUUUCGGUCCCUUUUUUACUUCGGUGUCUCCUCUCCCUUUUUGCGACCUUAUCCAAUUCAAAACAAAGAUUCACUAAUCACACAAUGACUUUUUCAUUUUAUUUUGUUUGGAUUCUUUUUUUUGGAUAUUCGGAUCCGAAAACCCGGAUCCGAUAUCUUCCCAGAGCCUGAUGUUGCUGUUUCGUUCUACUUUCCCAAAAUGCACCACUACCCUUUAAAUAUUUUUUAAAAAAAAUUAUUUUAAAUUUACAUUUUAUGAUUCUUUGUAUAAAAUCCUAAGUUGGGCUGAGUCACAAUCGAAACCAGCGGAUACUGUAUCUGUAUUUCUGUUCGCUUUAAGGAGCCAUUUGGUUAGAUAUAAUUAUAAAUACAAUAUAGUUGGGGAUGCAGUAAUUAUAACUAUAUAUAUUUUGUUUGGUUAGAUGCAGUAGAAAAUACUGUGAUUAUAAAUAAUUUAUUUGGUUAUAUUUAGUUGAGAAGCGCGUUUGUAAAAUUUUAUCAGGAGAUGAGAUUACCUCCAACAUAGAAAUUGAAAAUUUAUUUUUAUUCAAACAUUAAUUAGAUAGGUAAACUCAUCUUGUGUUUACAGUUUUACUCUCUUCAACUAUUAAAAUUUGAGUGUAGUUUCAACUACGGUAUUUGAACCUCCUUAUGCAGUUCUAGCUACAGUUUUUGGAUUCGAAUGUAUCAAACUAAACGUCAGAUUUACAUUUGGAUAUAGUUAUAACUGUAAUAUACAACCAAUAACCCCUAAAGUGAAUUAGUUGCAUAUUUUUAAUAGCUCGAGUUUUUUGAAUUGUGAUUGGCAUCGACAAUCUAACACAAAAGUUCAACUAGAGAUGUCAACGGGUCGGAUUCGGGGCAGAUUUUUGAAGGUCCGAACCCGAACCCGACUCCAAACCCGAGACCUGAACCCGAACCCGAACCCGAUCCCGACGGAUUUUAAAAAUCCAUACCCAAACCCGAACCCGACCAAAAAUCCGAAACCCGAACCCGAACCCGAACCCGAAAAUUUGAACCUGUAACAAUUAUUUCUUUUUUCAACAUUUCAAAAUAUAUUAUAUUAAAUCUAAAUUUUUAAAAUACAAAUUCAAAUAUAACAUCAAAUAUAUAUAUAUAUAUAUAUAUAUAUAUAUAUAAUACAAAAUAAAUUCGGGUUCGGGUCGGGUACAAUCAAAAUUCAUAUCCGAAUUCAUAUCCGUCGGGUUUCUAUUUUUGAUAUCCAUAUCCGAAUCCAUAUCCAUCGGAUAUAUCCGUUUCAUUCGGGUUCGGAUUCGGAUAAAAUUUCGGGUAUCCAUACCCAUUGACAUCCCUAAGUUCAACCUAUACAAAAAUGACAAUAACCCUCUCAAUUAUCCCCAUUUGAAAUUCUAUAUAUAGAGAUGGUGGAAUUGCUAAUUCCCAUGAAUAUUUCAUUAUCCUAACAAUUCCCACUAUUUUUAGCCAAAUAUUGCUUGAAAAUAACAUAUAUUUCAUUGCUAUCUUCACAAUACAUAUCUCUAUCGUUUCAUCAAUUAAAUUGUGUGACUAACAGCGUUGAUUUUAUUAUUUUUUUUAAAGAAAACAUUAAAUCUACCACUAUUUUUGUUUGAAUUUAAUAAAAUUCAAUAAAUUUGAUACGCCCUCGUAAUAAAAGUGGCUAUGUUAAUAUCGCUUAUUCAUCAAUAUUAUAGAAUAUUCAACAAAGUUUGUAUAGGAAGGAGCUUCAAUUAUGAAGACAUUAAUUAAUUACAUUAUAUCACACCAUUUCAUAGCUCAAAAGAUAAAAGUGUGUGUUGCUUUUUAGUUGGCAUGACAAGUCCUAGCAAAUGCCCAAUGCUUUUUUUUUUUAUAUUUUAUAAAUUAGCACAAGUGAUUAUAUUUAAUUGAUAAAAAAUAUAAAUUACAAGCAGAUAAGUAUAACUAUAACAAAGUAUAGUGAAUAAAAAUAAUUAUUAAAUAAUGAUGAAAAUUCAAUAGUUUUUUUUUCAAUAAUUCCAUUAGUAAAUCCUAGAGCACCGUUUGGUUUGGGAAUAGGGAUAGGGAUAGGCCCUUAUCCCCCCCCUUAUCCCCCCUUUAUAUCCAAACGCUAAUUUUUUACCCGAGAAUAGUAGUUCUCGGUUAUCCCCACCAACACCUCCAUUUUCUAUAUAAAACUUUCUAAUAUUUUUCUUAUCCUCGGGAACAACCCAAUUUUCAUCCAAACGCUAUUUUUCUUAUCCCCAUACUUGUACCUAUCCCUGUAAUAGCUAGUUCUUGCUUAUACCCGAACCAAACGGUACUUAGGAAUUUACUAAUGGGAUUAUUCACUAUACAAUGUUUCAAUAAAGUAUAGUGAAUAAAAAUAAUUAUUAAAUAAUGAUGAAAAUACAAAAGUUUUUUUCUUUAGAAAAAGAAAGAAAGAAAAGGUAGUGGAUAAUGACAAAUAAAAAGAGUGUCAAAGUACAGUGCUAUUAAUUCCACCUUUUUUUUUCACUUUUUAAUCCCAAGCAAAGUUUAUCAUAAUCAUUAUUUCAUUUUCUUUUGAGUGGAUUGAACCAUCAUUUUUUUUUCUUUUUUUUUUUAAAAAAAAAAAUAGCACGCUAACCGCUUCAUUCAUUCAGAAGACGAACUAAGCUAUAAAGGUGAGGCAUCACUGGCCUCGGUUGUGGCAAAACGAAACGGCGAAAAAAAAAAUUAGCGAUUACAUUGAUGUCUCUCCCCUGAGUGAAGUUUCUCUCACUGGUUCAUCAGCUAUUUAAUCUUGUUGACACCUGCACAUGGGUCAGUCUAGGUCAUCCAAAAGAUCACACAAUUUUUGAUAUUCUAAAUAACCCACCAGCAUACUGUUAGUCCAAUAAAAUCAAUACUUGAGUGGAUUGAAUUUGAAACUAGCGUUUCUCAAACACUAUUCCCUAGUCCUAAAACUCCACAUAGGAUAACUCAUCAUAUCCAUGCAUUAAUUGCUCCUAUUUAUGGAGGGUCCAAUAACUCACAAUGCCAAUUGCAUGCCUCAAAUUCAACUUUGCAUUGCUCAUAGAUGGACCUUACUACUUACUACUCAAAAAAGGCAACUUAAAGAGAUCAGUAUUCUGUCUUAUAAAAAUAAAAAAUUAACAGGUGGGAAGUUUUUCAAUAACGUUUUGUUAGAGAGCUCCAGUUCAUUAUCGCGUAUCAGUGUUGUCUCUAUCCGAAAGCUACAAUCCUUCCUUCAAGAGUUUGAAUAUUUUUUUAAAAAAAUUAGUAUUUAAAAAUUCCUCAAAGAACUAUUGGAAUGAGACAAAACUAAUAUGUAGGAGCAGAUCGGGGGGCUCUUCAUUGAUGCCUUAUGCUAGGGAGCUCCCAACUGAAGUUUUAUCUCCUCUUGUGAAAAAAUUUGAGUAGGGAGCACCCCAACGACGCCAUGUUGGAAAGUCCCAAUCCAUCGCCACAUGCCACUUUUAUCUUUAUCCAAGAACUUUAAUCCUUAUCUCUAGAGUUUAAAUAUAUUUUUAGAUUUUAAUAUUAAAAAAUAUCCAACGAAUCAUUGAAGGGGAGUAAAAUUAACAUAUAAUAGCAAAUCAAGGGUUUUUUAACAAGGUGUCGUUAGAGAGCUGCUCACUCACGUUUUAUUUUACUACUAGCAGGAGAUCGGGUUGGGCAGAAUCACGUUUGAAAUGGCGGGAGACCGAGUUAGGCUUAAUCAUGUUCAGAGUGGCGGAAAGUCGGGUUAGAUCGAGUUACGAUUGAGAGCGUGGAUGAUGUAUCCUUACCCUUUAAAUAAAUUAGUUAGUUGCGUCCUUCUAACAGUUUGAACUUUUGAAAUUAAUAAUUAGCGUCAUCGAUCCUACACUUAUGACAUGAAUUGGCCAUUUUAGAAUAAGUGCCAAAGUAUGAUUUAAACAAAAGUUUAUGGGACGAUCCCUAAUAUAAGACUGUUUCAUUAGCCGUUAAUCAUAUAAAUGUUACGAAUCUCAAAAUUACAUGGACGAUAGAUAGAACAGUCUCAUAUCGAGGAUUGUUCCUAAGAAUUUAUUUGUUUCUUUUCCUUGUAAUUCUAUAUUUAAGCACUAAAAUUGAGGCAAAUUAGUUGCCCUUCAUUGUUUUGAGUAAAGUUAAUUAAUAGCCCUUUGGGCAACAAUAGGUGCACCAUCUCACCCCAUGCAUUGUCCACUAAUCACUCUCUAUAGCUUCUCACAAUUCAUAUUCAAUUUGUUUUUAUUUAAAGGGAAAAAAAAAACCUUAAUAAAAAUUAAUAAAUUUUUUAUGCAAAAAAAAAGUUACAAGCAACUAAUUGGAAAAAAAAAAUAAAAGUAAACUUCAAAUAUCACCCAUAUAGUUUUAUAUUUUUUUCACUUUAGUACCAUAUGUUUGAAGUGUAUCAAUUUAGUACCAUGUGGUUUUAUUUUUUUCUUUUUGUCAGUCUAUUCGUUAACUUUUCGUUAAAUCAUAUACAAAAAAGUUGAGAUACUCCACCUAUAGUUUAUCGAAUAUUUAUUUUAGUACCCUUUAGUUUUAACUUUGUCACUAAUUUAACAAAAAAAAUUAGUGAAUGAAUUAAUUAAAAAAAAAUUAUAGGGUAGAAAAAUAAUACAUUUUAAAUCAUAUGUUACUAAAAUGAGAAAAUACAAAAUCACAUAGGGUGGUAUUUGAAGUUUAAAAAAAAAAACAAAAAAACAGAAAAUCACGCGGGCACAGUUACCGAGGCGGAUCAGCCACCGCCCAGCCGGCCAGCCCGUGACGCGCGGGCCCCACGGCGCCGGUCCAGAGGAUCAGGUCCGUCCGUACCACGUCAGCGGCUACAACAACAGAAGGAGACGCAAUUCAAAUUCAGAACAUUGGGGAAAUAUACAUUGUGGCAAAAAUAAAAAAAAAAAGAGGAAAAAAACGCUCGAGAAAUCGCGCACCGUCCGAUCUCCAUCAGACGGACGUCAGUUUCGGGUGGGGGGCCCGCCGACACCCGCUGCUGCCAUUUUGACCGUUGCCGCGAUCCGCCGUGCGUGUGGGCCGCUUCCCUAUUGGCUGGUGGGCUCGCGCGGGGCCCACCUGCUCAAACGGCUAGUCUUAUGACUCUUAUCCGACGUGGCAGAACCGAUCGGCUGCCACGUGGCAUUAAGUGGCCCCCGCACGGGUGCGGUUCCCCGAGACACGUUUGGUGGCCACGAAAAGCUUUUUUAAAAUUUUAAUUUUGGUAUUUAAUUUUUUUAAUUUUUUUAAUUUAAGUAGGGGUGGAAACGAGCCGAGCUCGAGCGAGCUUAGCUCAGCUCAAGCUUGGCUUGAAAUUAAUUUCGAGCCUAAAUUUAGGCUCAAGCUCGGCUUGAAAUUAAUUCGAGCCGAGCUCGAGCGAGCCUAAUUUCGAGUCGAGCGAGCUCGAGCCCUAAACGAGCUGCUUGAAAUUCUUAACAUCGUACAAUCUAUAGUUUAAUUUUUAUAAAAAUAUUAUCUAAAAUUUGAUACAAAAAAUGUCUAAUAGCUCAACAUACAAAAUGAAUGCAUGAAAUAUGAUAUUAUAAUAUUAAAAAAAAUCAGGGAAAACAACUCUGAGCGAGUGAAAAAGAGAGAGAGAGCAAUUAAAAUAGGAUUUUAUUGGUUUGAUUUUAUGGGUCCUAUAAUCUAAAUUCUAUAUAGAUACAAUUAAAAUACAUAAUAUAAAUUUAUAUAAUUAAAAUAUAUAUUAUAUAUAAUUAUAUAGAGAGAGAGUUCGGCUACUAUACUCUAUUAGUAUAGAUCUCUUUACACUCAUAAGUUUUUUAUCGUCAAAUAUAUACUUUUGACCAUUUCCAACCGUAAAUCAUACUAUUCAACCAACCACCCACUCAAUCCUAGGGGAUCACUANAUAUAUAUAUAAUUAGGUUACAAUAUUAUUAAUAGUAUCAACUACUUGCUAUUAGGUUUUCGGCCCUUAGAUGAAGGGAUGUGUGGUCAGGAUGAUAGUAGCCCCUAGGAUUGAGAAGGUGGAUAAUUGAAUAGUAUGAUUUAACGGAUGAAAAUGACCAAAGGGGUAGAUCUAACGGCAGAAAACUCGAUAGCAUCAAAUACUUGGUAUUAUCGAUAGUAUAGUAGCCGGACUCUAUAUUUAUAGGUAGGUCUAACAGCAGAAAACUCGAUAGCACAAAACAAUUGGUACUAUAGAUAGUAUAAUAGCCGGACUAUAUAUAUAGAGAGAGAGUCCGGCUACAAUAUUAUCGAUAAUACCAAAUGCUUAGUGCUGUCGAAUUUUUUGCCGUUAGAUCUAUCCGUUUGACCAGUUUCACUCAAUAGAUCAUACUAUUCAACUAACCACCUACUCAACUCUAGGGAAUCACUAUCAUCCUAACCGCACAUCCCUUCAUCCAAGGCCGAAAACCUAAUAGUAAAUGGUUGGUACUAUUAAUAAUAUAGUAGACUUUAUAUAUAUAUAUAUAUAUAUUUCGAGCUUUUCGAGCCUAAUUCGAGCGAGCCCGGUAAUACUCAAGCUUGGCUUGAAAUUAAUUUCGAGCCUAAAUUUAGGCUCAAGCUCGACUUGAAAUUAAUUCGAGUCGAGCUCGAGCGAGCCGAAUAUCGAGCCGAACGCGAGUCGAACACGAGCCGGCUCGCUCAUUUGCCAGCCCUAAAUUUAAGUGAUUUAGUAAUUUUUUAAAAUAUUUUUAAAUAUAAAAUAUAAAUAAUUGCUUAUUUUUAUAAAUUUAUAGUUACAUAAAUUAUAUAAAACUACUAAUUCAAAUUUUGAGAUUAAAGAGUCACUAAUUUUUAAAAGUUACGUAGUAUAGUCUGAUUCCAAUGUUUGUUUAGAAUUAAUGAAAAAAAAUAAAAAAAAUAAUUUAAUUAUAGCUAGAAUCUAAUAUAUGAUCCAAUAAAUAAAAAAUGAUUUAAGAUAAAAUAUAUUUUUGUGUAUCUAAAAACUUUUUCCAGAUUUAUUAUUAUUAUUAUUAUUAUUAUUAUUAUUAAUUGGGAUUUUGCAAAUGAGUACUUUUGCUUUCUAGAAAGAAGAGAAUAUAAUAAUAAACAUAAAAAAAAUGGCCAGCUCAUUGGCCAGCUCAGCACAUAGAUAAAAGUUGGUUAGUGCAUGAAAAAUGAGUCCCCUUUUGGAGUAGGGUUUGGUACAAAUAUGUAAUGUUGGAUUUAAAAAAAAAAAAAAAAUUUAUGGAUCCCAUUUGCGCUAACUGAAAUUCUAAAAGCUCGAGCUGAUACAGCAAAAAUAAUCAUUUUACUUAAAAUGUACAGAGACAGCGAUGACAAAUUCUCAAUUGUGCAUUAACUCAAUUUAACUUCAGACACGCAGAUAGAAUGUUAGAUACCGUGUAAGAAUAUUAUAUAAAAUUGAGUGUAAAUUGGUCCGUAAGUAUUUAUUGUUAAAUAGCGUAUCAUCCUAUUUUUUUUCCAAAAUUUAUUAUGUUGAUUUUUUCAGUGAAAUAAAAUAAAAAGAAAACUCCCCCUCACUUCUCUCAAACCCAAUUAAACCUCUCUCUCUCUCUCUCUCUCUCUCUCUCUCUCUAGAAAACAGAGCACUCCUCCAUGAAGAGUAUAUAAUAAGAAAACAGAGCAAAAACAGAGCAUAGUUGUAGCAAAUAACACAAACAGGGGAGGGAUCAAAAAAUGGCUCCUUUUUCUUCUUGUCCUCCUCUCUUCUUCCUCUUCCUCUACUUUGGAGCUUCACUCACCCCCAUUAAUGGCGAGCCCAUCCCCUCCCUCCCCACCCUCACCCCACUCUCCUUCCACGACGCCUACACGCAGCUCUUCGGCGACUCCAACCUCGCCCUCCGCCGCGGCGGCAGGAGAGUCCACAUCGCCCUCGACCGAAGAACCGGUCCAUUAACCCCUCCCCUUCUCUCUCUCUCUCUCUCUGAUUCCAUUGGAUUGGUUUAUGAUUGCACUAAAAUUGGGCUCUUUGGAGAUAAACUCAGGUGCCGGAUUCGCCUCGCGGCGCCUCUAUCUCCACGGCUUCUUCAGCGCCGCCAUUAAGCUCCCUUCGGAUCACGCCGCCGGUGUCGUCGUCGCUUUCUAUGUAAAAACCCCAUUUUUAUCAUGAAAAUUUUGGAAUUACUCCGAAAAGUUUGGAUUUUUAGCUUGUGUUUUUCCCUCUGUUUCUCGCCGCCAAUUCAAAGUUCAUAGCUUUUGAUUCUUUUUAUCUUCUGUUGUUCAAAUUUCGAAUUGUAGGAUUAUGAGCUUUGGAUGUUGAGAUUUCCCUCUUAAUCAACAUAUUCAAAUCUAAAUUUAAAUAAAAUUCCAAAUGUAUCCAAUUCCAAUUUCAACAUAUUCUUUUUUAUUAUUUUAUUUUAUUUAACAUGUGAAUACUCCACUAAACACAUCAAACUGUAAAACCAAACAAAACAAAACACCAAAAAAAACAUUUUUUUUCAAGCAAUUCAAGGGAAAAAAAGAGUGAGAGAGAGAGAGAGAGAGAGAAACUUACAAUUGAGGAUGAUGAAAAGCUUGUGGUGGAUGCUGCUGCUGCUGCUGCUGCGCAGAUGUCGAACGGAGACGUGUUCGAGAAGACGCACGACGAGCUGGACUUCGAGUUCUUGGGCAACAUCAGGGGGAGGGAAUGGCGGGUGCAGACGAAUGUUUACGGCAACGGGAGCACGUCGAUCGGGCGCGAGGAGAGGUACAGCCUCUGGUUUGAUCCCACAGAGGAUUUCCAUCAGUAUGCCAUACUGUGGAGCAGCAGCAGAAUCAUGUAAGUGCUGCUACUUCUGCUGCUACUUCUGCUACUCUGACCAUUUUCUUACUGCUGAAUCAUCUCUUUUCUAUGCUUCAGUUGUAUGAUUUGUAGUUUUAAAUUCGCGGUUUCGGUGAAAUUUGAUGGCCAGUAACUGACAAUGCUGUUGAAGUUUAAGGAAGUUUCCAAUUCUAGAGAGGAAAUUAUAACCCAAACCAAAUUUCAUGUGGUGGUAGCAAGUUUCAGCAAAUGGUCAAAUUAAGUAAAUUCAGAUGUAGAAAUGCAUGAGAAUGCACCUGACUAUAUUCAUGCUUAAGAAUCUAGUCUUCUAGAAACAGAUGGAUCAGAACAUCUCGUAACGCCCUAAUAGUCCCACAUCGGAUGAAAAAAUGAUUCUAAUUGGUAUAUAUAUAUCUAUGCUAAUAACAAUAACCGGACUUUAAGCAUUUUGGGCCGGUGGUUUAACUCUAAUAAAUUAUCAUUGCUAGCGGGUUGGAUCAUUACAAUUAGUAUCAGAGCUGAAUAUCGGCCUCUCCGUUGGUAGGAUCACCUGUAGGAGUCACUUCUUAAACCCGUAUGAGUCACCUCUAGAAUCUCAAUUUCUGGUCACUCGUAGAAGCCACCUCUAGAAUCUCACAUCAGUAAGCAUGCAUUUUGGGUUGAUGGUUUGAACCCAACGAGUUAUUAUUGCUAGCGGGUCGGAUCGUUAUACAUCUUUUCUCCUUUACUUCCUAUAAGCCAUAUUCUCUUUAUGUUAUGUUAUGUUAUGUGGAUUAUUAUGAACAAUUCCAUCUUUAUGAAUUAUUUUCCGUGUGCUUACUUAGUUGUAAAAAAUAAAAUUUCGGAAAACUAUUUUUACAAAUUUUCAGCUGAAAUUAAAAACUCAAGCUGCCAAAACUUUUUUCUUUCUUUUUCUUCUACCGAACUAAAUAAAUGUGAAAAUUUCUCCUUUCAACCACAUAAAUAUUAAUAUAAAACUAUUUUUUUCUUUCCUUUUUUCACUACAAAACGUAAAACUUUUUUCCCACCAAAUUUUUUUUUCUACAAAAAAAACUUUUUUCACGGUUUUCUACUAAAACUACUAUUUUUUUUUUUCUACGGAAAACUAUGAAUCUCUUAUUGUUGUUUUGUCGUUACUUUNUUUUUUUUUUUUUUUUGAGAGAGAUAGGUAGCAUGCGACCUGUUUCGUUUAUUUCAUUUAGAAACACCAUUACUAUUACUAAGGGUGUUUUUUAUUGGUCAUAAACUAUACCGAAAAUUACUUUUCGGCUCGAAAUUUUUUUUUUCAUGUGUUAGUUUAACCCUAAAAAAAGUUUUAGAAAAUUAUUUUUAGGGUUAAACAAAAAUUUUUAGAAAAUUAUUUUUACAGAUUUGAGGAAAAUGGAGUGUUUGCAUUUUCGCCAAUUUUUCGACAAAAAAAAAAAAACUCAAGCUACGCAAAUUUUUUUUCAUUUAUUUUUUUUUUUUCACCGAACCAAAUGAAUGUGAAUUCUUCUCCUUUCAAUCAAACAAGUAUUAAUAAAAAAAAAUACCCCCUUUUUUUUCCCUUUUCACACUACAAAACUUUUUUUUUUUCUACGAAAAAUUAUUUUUCAUGAUUUUACGUACAACCAAACGUGGCUUUACUAAGUUGAGACAUGCUAAAUUGAGUUUCACUCUUUUGAGCAGAUUUUACAUUGAUGGCAUUCCAAUUAGGGAGGUGGUGAGGCCUCAAGCCAUUGAUGGGCUUGGGCAAUUUCCAUCCAAGCCCAUGUCACUCUAUGCCACCAUAUGGGAUGGGUCAAGUUGGGCCACAUCGGGCGGGCGCUACAAGGUAAAUUACAAAUACGCCCCUUACGUGGCCGAAUUCACCGACCUCGUCCUUCGCGGUUGCGCUACCGACCUAACGACUCACCAGCCGACCUGUCGCCAGGCCGACAUUGAUAUGUACGACACUGUCAGUUUGUCGGUCGAGCAACGGUUGGCCAUGGAUGACUUCCGCGAGAAGCAUAUGACUUACGGUUACUGCUAUGAUCGCCUGCGAUACACUAAUCCUCCGGCAGAGUGCUCAACAGGCCGUGAGGCCGACCUUUUCCUGGAGUCGGGGGAAGCCCGGGGGUUCUCCGACCGCCGCCGUCACCGCUAUGCAAAGCGUCAUUACCGGACGGCGUUAGAUGACGCAUUUUGAUUUGAACUUCAUUUAGUUGUGAAAAGAAAAAGUCUUAGGCUAUUGGGAAAAGGGGAUUAUUUUGUGUUUAUAGAGAGAGAUGGUAUUCAUCUUUUCUUCAUCAUAGAUUUCUUAUUCCUCUAACAUGUUGGGAGGAAACUUAUGAAUAGCAAAUGAAUAAACAAGGUGAUAUGAUUUUUCCUGGGGCCAUGACUUUUUGAAAAGAGGAGAGAGAAAGAGAGGGAGUGAGUUUGAAAAAAUUGUUGGUAACUAAGUCUACAUAAAGUAAGCCAUUCACCACAUUUCUACAUAAAAUAUUAGUUCUCGAAGUUCAAACUACGCAGAUGUAUACUACUAAAUGGUUCACUGCUUUUACGAGCACCCUCAAAUAGUUUUAAUGUUUUGAAUAAAAUGGUAAACGAUUUGUCGCAUUUAGAAAGCAGUGAUUCAUCUGUGUCUCAUAAUAUUUAGGCCUAAUUCUAUAAAUAAGCUUUUCGAGGGAUUAUUGUUACAAUUAUAAUAAUAGGUCUGAGUUUGGUGCCUCUAGGGUUUGGUUUGGGCAAUUAUGUCAUUCCCUUUUUUGGCCAAUGAGGAGGUUGUUCUCCUUGCCUUCUUGUUUCACACAAAAUGGUAAGAUUCCUAUGAGGUCUCAACUCAAGAAUAGGACCAAGUAACAUGCAAAAGGACAUGAAUAUGUGACUUUCUCUCUCCUAACAAGUGAGAGGAGACCACUAAGAGAGAGAGAGAGAGUGUGUGUGUAAUAUUGAGAUGCAAAAAAAAAAAAAAAGUACAUAGCUGAAUAAAUCCAAAGAAAACAUCUUGUGAGAAUAAUCAACAUAUAGCACCAAAAAAAGCAGUUGGUAAAAAUCUUAAAAGUUAAAAUUUAAGCUAAUUGUUUAUUUUAAUAAAUUUAUAUUUACACAAAUCGCAUAAAUUACCUUAGUAGCUUAAUCAAAUAAAUUAAAAGGUUAGAUAGCAAAAUCAAAAUUUUUAAAGAUUUAGUAGUCGGAUCAAAAUAGGUGAUAGUUGAGGUAAGUUGUGUAAUUUUGUUUCACCCGGAAUUUAAGACGGUGUCCGGUUUUAUGUACAUGAGUUUCUUUUUUUUUCACACAAACUGAAAACAUUCAGAUAUCAAACAGUAAAUUCAUGGAAAGCAAUCAGAGAAUCUAAAUUACAGAUCAAACAGUAAAAAACAAAAAAGGAAGAAGGGUUUAUGAAACAAUUGCGAAAAUUAAUGUACAAAAAAAGCAAUAGAUUGAGGAACAUUAUUUGAUACAAGGAUGUGUGUAUUAAACCAAUAUCAGCUAAGAAACGCGUAGUUUCAUUUCAUUUCAUGUCUUGUACGGAACUCGGUUUUUUGGCUACUUUUAUGAACAAAAUAACUAGUAUAUACUUACGGUAAGAUCAAAUCGCACAAAUUUAUUAAUCUAGCAUCAAUCAAGUGGUUCCUUUUUCAAUUUGACUAAUAGGAGAGAGGGAUUUUGAACUUAUCGUCGAUAAUUUGCCUUGUUGUAGUCCUACUCUGAAUCAAAUUUGAUUUGAGUCUUCUGGAAUGGAGCUGGAGCCUUCGAGAUCUUCGAUAAGCUUGAUGAAGUUUUGAACCAUUGUUUUUCCUUCCGGCGUUAUGAUGCUUUCCGGAUGAAACUGCACUCCCUGCAACUCAAAGAAUCAAACAGGCAAAUUUAUAAAAUAAAUUUAUGAUCAGAGCAAGAGAAGAUUAGGCUGAUGUUUUCUUAGUGAGUUGAUGCGAAUCGUCAAAAUUACGCAUUUACGUGAUAUGACAGAUAUUCCAACUUAGCAAUUCAUCAAUCUUUAAUGAGUGAAAUUUACAACUACCUAUUAGCCAAUUCAGAUUCUUGAGAACAUGUGUGAGAGCGUGAAAGUCGGUUUCGUAUAGCAGGAAAGAGGUGCGUUUGAGAUGUUAAAUUUUUUAAGUUUCAUACUUGAUGAAGAUAGAAACACAACCACAAUAACAGACAGCUGAAACAAGGAAAAGAAGUUACCAGACCUGGAUAUGCCUGUACUUCUUGUGUCGGGCAGCCAUAACUAGCCCAUCUUCCGUCCACGCGACAACCUCUAGAGAGUCACUCGGAAAACUGUCCUUCUCAAUCACAAGGCUAUGAUAUCUUCCAGCCUGAAAUGGACUGGACAAAGAGACGGCAGGAGAAAAUGCCUUUAUAAGUGAUAAUUAUCACAUCGGCACAAAGUAUCACAAAAGAAGCCAUAGUUCCGUUAAAUGCAUAAGCUUAGAGUCGAAUCAUAGGGUUAGCUCUAACAAGUGAUAUACAUGCUAAAAUUAUCUUGAUGUUAUUAUGUCUGUUGCACUGAUAAUCCGUGAUGUUAUCAGUAUAUCUAUUCAGAUUAUUUUGCAAAUAGUAUUCUGUAAAGAGAUUGGCCAUAUGGAACAAGAGAUUUCAGCAUUUAAAAAUAUGACCUUUAAAUUGUAUUAUUCAUGAAGAAAAUAAAAGUUUCUGAGUUCAGAAAACGAGAAUACACAUCGAGCAAAAGCCGCUAUUGAAGAGUAAAAAGAUGUAAAUACAAUAAUCUUACUUUGGCACACCGGAAAAUAGUGUAUCAACCAGUUUUUCAUCGUAAUACACCAGCGAGCUCUUCCCGUGUACAACACCAGAAGGAGAGCGUACAAUCUUCCCUAAAAGUCAACAGUGAUGCACUCAAAUUAGAACAUCAUAAGUGUCGCCCUGUAAAAUCCAACCAUUCACGCACAGCCCUUGUAAAAUCCGGAAAGCCACAUACGCCACCCAUAAAAAAUGCAGGUUCUUAAAAAAAUAUGCUUGUUUAAUUAUGGGGAGUCAACAAAUUCAUUAGGGGAAGAUGAUUUUGUACUGUAAAACGGCUAACAAAGAGGGGCAUUGCUGUAAAUGCAAUGGCAAUUUCACCUCUGUGUUAGAAAAUUAGGUUUUGAAUAGCAUAUAAACAAAAGCUCAAAUUUUGCAAGAGUACAUAUGUGAAUAAAUAAUUUUGUAGGGAUAAAUAUAUGUCACUGUAUCUAAAUGAGAUGAGUUGUAUUUGUAAAUUGAAAUGUAACCAUACCUCCAAAAGCCUCUCCAAUGCAUUGCAAGCCCAUACAAACUCCAAAUAAAGGAAUAGAAGGCCCCAACUCUAAAACAGUUUGUAAAGAGACUCCUGAAUCCUGAGGGGUGCCUUCAAAAAGAGAAAAGAAAAUAAAUAUUCAAGUUUCUUCAUAAAGCAAAGCAAAAAUUAUCGAGGAUUUAAACACUAACCAGGACCUGGAGAAAUUAAUAUCCCUCUUGGUUGUUUCCUAAAAAAACCCAAGUAAAUGAUCAUCGGCUAAUGCAUAAUGCUUGACUUUUAAUUAAAACACCAAAAGUUAACAAACGAAAAAAUUUCCAACCUUUUGAUUUCUUCAACGGUAAUUUCAUCAUUUCGAUAUACCUCAAAACUAGCUCCCAGGUCGCCCAUAUACUGCAUUAUCAAAGAUAAAAUGCUUUUCUAUAUCAGCAGCUGGUUCGCCUAAUCUGUCAUGCAAGGACCAUAUGUUUCCAGCUUUCUGCUAUUUGCCACGUAAACAGAUAAACAAUAGAGGAAUGUAUUGCUUUUAUAUGUGUUUUUGGGUAUCUCUUUAUUACCGCCACAAGCAAAACUGGAGAGAAUAUCCAAUUCUAAUGGAAUUCAUAUGUCAUGCACUGUAACAGAAAGUGUUACUAAAAUGUAAAUGAAGUUACAGUUAGGGAUAGUUGCGCUUGAAGAACUUAAAUUCAAAGUACCAUCUAUUGACUUAGCAUUCAAAUAUGCACACUCAAACAAUAGCCUGCCUUUCUUAACCGUCUCAAUAGGUCUGAGCAGAUCGCAUGAAGAGUAAGCCAUCACAAACAGUAUCAGGAAAAGAUCUUUAACCAUAAAAAUGAAGGGAAAUACAUGAGGGUGCAGUUCUAUAGUGAGAUUCAACCAAUUUAAUUCAUUUUAUAUCCACUCAAGUUCUAACGAUACCUGGCAUAAAUUAUAAGUGAAGCUAUCAUAGUUGUCGAUCACAAUGAUCGGUUUCGAAUCCUUCUUAUAACCAUUCGAAACAAAUGCUCUUUCUGCCGUUACUGCUUGUAUUGGAGCAGUAAAACUGCUUCUCCUAUUUGAUAAAACUCCACUUUUGACCCCUGAAAGAAAAAAGUCAAUUACAAUGCACUGUAAAAGCUGUAGGAAAUAGGGAAAUUAUAUUAUUCUAUGGUGUGCCUCGAAUUCUUGGACCCAGUCCAUUAUGUGAUCCGCUACGACACAUUUGGGAGAAAAAUGCAAUUGUGAGAGUUUUUGGAGGUUUGUGAUGGAAGCAUAGGGCUUGGGACGAUAGACCUUUUCUCCGAUUGGAUUAGGAUUAUUUACCAAUAUAUUCGAUGUUGGUGUUCUCCUGAUUAUUUACCAAGCAUGGAAAAUGACAAUUUUUUUAUCUCUAUCAUCUGCGAAUUUCUUAUUCUUAUGAAGAGUCAAAGGGCUUGGGCCCAACUCAAAAGCUUAAGCUGAUAGGUGAAGAUUCCCUUACACAUUAUAUGGGAACCAAAAUUUUUGUUUCUAUUCAAUAUGUGACUAUUUAUUCUUAACAUUACAAAUCAAUUAAGCAAGAAAAGCAAAAGAGUACAUUCCAAAGUAUAAAAAUUGAAUUAGGAAAAAGAAGAGCUUGUUAUUUCCACGUCCAUCAUAAUCUACCAUAUUAGAAACAAUCAUCAAUGGAACAAAAAAAAAGACGAUCUUUAAUCGAAAAAAUGCAGGAAAAAUGCAAGAGUAUGCAUUCAAAAAGAAAUUAGAAAAUUUUGGUAAAAUCAUACAAAACUUACUUAGACUAUGGACUAUUUUGAAUCGGCGACCCAAACUUUCAAAAGUUUGAUUUUACUGCCCAACCUUUUAAUUUGUUCGAUUUGAGUCAAUUAACGGCACUUUCACUUCAAAAUUUAAGCUAAUUACUUAAUUUAACGAAUUUAUAAUUACAAGAAUUUUAUUAAUCAUACUAACUAAAUACAUAAAGAUAAACGACGCAAUCAAAUUUUAAAGUUAAAGUGUCGUUGAAUACUCAAAUCAAACAAAUUAAAGAUAAUAAAAUCAAAAUUUUGCAAGGUUGGGUAGCCGAAUCAAAAUGGUCCAUAAUUCUGGUAAGUUUUGUACGUUUUUACCGAGAAAGUUUUACUUUAUCUUUCCAAUCCCUUUACACUCUACCAUAUUACAGACAACGAUAAACAACUCCUCUCAAUCGAUCGAACCCUAAUCCCCAAUCCCCAACACAUUAAACAACGAAAAAGAUCUCUAAUAAAAAAUGCAGGAAAAGUGCAAUUAAACUGAAUUAGAAGAAGCUCUACUUCAUCUUUCCAAAUCCACCAUAGUCCACCUUAUUAGAAGCAAUUAUCAGCUCCUCUCAAUCGAUCGAUCAAGCCCCAAUUCCCAAUCCCCAACGCAUAAAAAAGGGGGAAAAUAUCAUGUUUCUAAUCGAAAAAUGCGGGGAAAAAAGGGGAUGAGGAUCGAUUACUCGUCGGAUCGGCAACAGGGGCUAGGGCGGGGGAUCGCGCAUGGCGGGGCGGGGCCGCGGCUAGGGUUUGGGGAUCGGGGUAGGGUUUGGAGGAGGAGAGGAGGGAUCGGAGAGUGAGAAUCGCCAUGAGAGAGAGAGAGAGAGAGAGAGAGAGAGAGAGAGUUGGUGGAGAGCGUAGUUGAGCAUCUCUCGUUCUCUCUUUGGUUAAAAUGUAUAGAUACACCUAAACUUUAACCAUAUUUGAAAUUACCCCCCUGAACUUUUUAAAGUAAAAGCGUACCCAAUUUAUCUCAACUAUAAAUUAUUUUAAAUUAUCUAAUUAAUUUUUUAAAAACUUUUAAUUUACUAUCCAACAUUUCAAUUUAUUAUAUUUGAGAUUAAAAUUUAAGCUUAUUACUUACUUUAAAAAAUUUAUAAUUGCGAGAAUUACGUGACAUUAAAAUUUUCAAGUCAAAGUGUUGUUGACCGACUUGAAUUAGAUAAAUUGAAAUUUUGGUACCACCUCAAAAUGGUCCAUAGUUCGGAUAAUUUUGUAUGUUAUUUUUUUAAAAAAAUUUAAUUUACAUCCUUUUUAAUUAUUAACUGUCUGAUUUAACUUCUUUUGUUAGCAAUUUUAAAAGUUCUAAUAGAAUUAAAAUAAAUGUUCAUAAAAAAUAUACGUGAUUAAAAAUUACUUUAGCCAAAACAGAGGCCACGUGCAUCUCUCGUGGAUGUUUGCAUGUAAUAAAUAAAAGGGGUCUAAAUCAAAUAACAAAAUUUAGGGAGUGAAAUUCAAAAUUGGUUAAAGCUUAGGGGUGUCUAUACAUUUUAACCUUUUUUUUAAAAAAAGUUCGUUGACUUUUCAACCGUCACACACGAAGAGCACCUUUUGCCCGUAGUCAACUCUCCUGCGUUGACUAACACUACGAAUAUUUUAGGAAAAAGUAUAAAUGAGUAAAAAUAAAUAAAUAAAUAAUUUUAAUGAAAAAUUUUCCAACAAUAAUGACGAGUCCCUGAUCCUCCGCUGUUAUAUAUCAAUUUUACUUUUAUUUUCAAAUUUUAGUAUUAAAAAUAUUUAAUAAAUAUUUGAAUGGAUAUAAAUUUAACGCAUGGUGUUGUUAUCUGUUUGACGCUCUCCACUGAAAUUUUUAUUUGAAAAAAAAAAUCAUUCAAUGCGAGUAGGUACGUGUAAUGUGGGUCGUAUCGUGUCGAACUUUCGUUUUAACCGGCCGGUACCUGCCACACUGCGCGGCACGGCAUUGAAUUUAGUUCGUACUUUGUCACGUCAUAUUCGUGCUUUCGUUAGUUUUUUUUUAUUUUUUACAAAAAAUAAAAAAAAAUACAUAACUUAUCUAAACUAUAAACCAUUUUAAGCUGAUUAUUCAAUCUUUUAAAAAUUUAAUUUUACUAUUUAAUAUUUUAAUUUAUUUGAUUUAAAUCAGACAACGGCACUGUAAGUUUAAAAUUUGAAUGCGUCGUUUAUUUUUAUAAAUUUAAUUAGUAUACUUCAUAUAAUUUUUGUGACUAUAAAUUUUUUAAACCAGGCAAUUAGUUUAAAUUUUGAUGUGAAUGCCGCUGAGUGACUCAAAUUAAAAAAAUUAAAAAAUUGCGUAGCAAAACAAAAAUUUUGACAGGUCGAACGGUCAGCUCAAAAUGAUUCAUAGUUUUAGUAAGUACAGUACGUUUUUUAUCGUUUCAAAAUUGAACUGAAUCGCAUUAAUAUAGUGACUUUAUCUGAAGUAAUUUUGUCGAAAUAUAAUCCGGAUGCGGAUAUUAACGGAUAAUAUCGGUACGUGGAUAUUACCGUCCCCCUUACAUAUUACUGUACACAUCAAUGUAUAAUACUACUAAAUAAAUCUGGAUUUUCGUAUUCAUAUUUAUUUCUUAUGGAUAUCAUAUUUGCGCCUAUAUCUGACCGGAAUUUGGAUGCGGGUAUCAACGGACAAUAUCCGAUCCGCUUUCGCCCCUACCGAAGCUCCACUAACCUCGAUACAUUUGCAUCCUUUGCCAUGUAUGAUGGAUGUAUCAAGUACACUUGUACACCGGGUGCACGGAAUAAUUUGUUCAUGGUCGUAGAACACGCGGCUACCGACCAAGGAAAACGUACACCGAGGGGCGAGAGGAAAGUCAACACGGAACGGGGAAACGGGAAACGCGUUUCUUCGUUUUUGUUUUAUGGUCCUUUGGGGAAACGCGUUCGCCGCUACUGGUUUGAGAUCCGGCGAACGGAUGCUUUUCCCAAAAUGCCCCUAGGGGUGGGAAGCAUUGGAUUUUUGAAAAAAUUAUAUGGCUAAAUUACAAAACAAUUUUAGGCAAAUUUGUAUAAAAAAUUUAUUAGUUUUGAGAUUUUGCAAAAAUAGACUGUUUUUUUGAAUUUUGCAGAUUCAGGCUAAAUUUUUAGAAAACUGAUCAAAAUAUCCUUAUCCUUUUUUUUUCUCUCUCUUUUUUUUUUUCACUUGUUCUUUUUUUUUUCUCUCUCCGAGGAGACGCAGGCGGAGGCGGCCUGCCUCGCCUCUGUCCCACGCACCCUCGCCCUCACCUGUGCACCAUCCUUCUACCUUCCUCGCCUCCAACCGCAUCGAGGCCGCGUCUCGACCUCCUUUUUUUNCAACCCUCCACCACCGCCUUUUCGGUUUUUUACAAAAGUUGAAAAGGUAUCGUUACGCCAUUUUUUUCUCCUUUUUUUUUUCUUCUUGUUCUUUUUUUUUUUUCUCUUCAACCCUCAUCUACCACCUCUGUAACCCUCCAAAAUGGUAACAAAGACAAUGCUGCAUUCUCUUCCUCCGCCUUCGCCAGCACAGGCACCGACGCUGGUGCCAGAGAAGGAGGACUCGAAGCGAGUGCGGGUGAGAGCGGAGCUAUGGAAAAAAUAUGCAGAAACUAAAAAAUAAAAAAAUAAAGAAUAAAAUAUAAAAAAUAGUUAUUCCUACAAGAAAAAUAAAGUUGAAUUUGCACAGUUUCAAAAAAAUAUUGCACUAUUUUAAGAUAACGUUGUACUAUUUUAAAAAAAGUUUACACUACUAGAGAGAAAUAUAUACUUUUUUUUUUAUAAAAAUUACACUCUUUAAACGAAAAUUGUAUUAUUUAGACAAAAAUUAUACUAUUUUUUCUCCUCCUCAUCCGCUUUCUUGCCAAAUAAUGAAAUUUUCGUUAAAACAGUACAACUAUCAUUCAAAAAGUAUAAUUUUCAUCCAAAAAAAUAUAUUUUUCCUCUCAAAUAAAUUUUUUUUAAAAAUAAUGCAACGUUCCCCUGAAAUAGUGCAACAUUCUUCUGAAAUAGUCCAAAUUCAUCUUCUUCUUUUCUCUUUGAUUUUUUAUUUUUUUAUAGAAAAAAAUAUUUUUCUUUAUAUUCUAUUCUUUACUUUUUUUUUCUCUAUAUUUUUUUUUUUCGGCUCUGCUCUUUUUUGAAAUCUCUUAUCCAAAUAUUGGAAUGCAAAUCUGACUUAUAUCUUUAUUCGGAGAGAAAGAAAAAAAUGAACGACAGCAAAAAAAAGAGAGAGAAAAAGAAAUAAGGGUAUUUUGGUCAGUUUUUUAAAAAAUUCGAUCCGAAUCUGCAAAAUCCAAAAAAGCGACUUACUUUUGCAAAAGCUGAAAACUAAUAGAUUUUCUAUGCAAAUUGGCCAAGUUUUUAUGUAAAUAUUCAUUUUUUUUACUUUUAAAAUUUUAUAUUUUAUUUUUAAAAAUUUUAAAAAUAUUUUUAGAGGGUACAAUAUUAAUAAAGAGGGCAAAAUGAUCAAAUUACCUUUAUUUUUUUGUAAGAACAAAAUUAAUAUAUUUUUAUUAUUUUGAAGGACAUUUUCAGUAUAAAUUAUAAGAAAUGGAAAUGGACGGUAUAAUGAUGGAACUCUGAUGGAGGAAAGUUAAAUGCAACAACUUGAAAUGUUAAGUAAGUAAAAUAUAGAUUUUUGAAAAUUAGCAAAAAAAAAGCAAAAAAAGUGAGUGUUUAUAAAAAAAAUUUUCUGUAAUUUAGCCAAAUUAUAUUCUGUCACGCCCGGGUAUCAGCGGAAGCAUAUCCGGUACGUGCACAGACCCGCCAUACACCUACAGUAUAUAAGGCGUCUACAAGAAAGCAAGUCGAUAGGAGUAAAAUAUAGAAAAAUCCUAUCUUGAUAUCAGAGCAAAGUAUAAGUCCCUAAUACUAUCAACAGAGGAACAAAAAGUAACCAAUCCAAAAAAAAUUCCACAUCAUGGAGAAGUAUAACAACUAUAAUUUCAGGUUCCAGAACUCAUAUACAUCACAGGGUACACAAAAUAUCUGUACAAUGGUAGUCUCUCUAUACACUGGACAUCACCCUCGGUAGUAGCCCGAGUAGCAAGGUGAUCGACUAGCAAGCCCCUAGCAAUGUCUAGCUAGACGCAACUCCCUUACCACGAUCCCUAGCCUCUCCUGUAGAUGGCUCUGUAAAAACAACAAUAAAAUAGGCGUGAGAACUAUUAACAAUAGUUCCCAGUGGGUAAGCCACCAGCCUCGACGAAUUACACCACUAGGCUCAUGAUGUACUAAAUGAAAGUAAAAGCGAUAAUUGCAUGAUAUCUAUAUGCAAGGCUAGCAGGCAAUAGGCAUGUAAUCAACAUGUAAUCAUGAUUUCUGCACUAAUGAAUCAACUGAAUAAUAGAAGUAUAGCAACUACUAUAAACAUGAAUAUAAACAUGGAUGUGUAAGUAAAUACUGUACACUAUAACUGAUGAGCAUUAAUUACUGUCCUUUGUCAUUUAGUACUUUUAUUUCAUUCAUAAGGAUCUACCCAAGAUAGUCCAGCUUGUGCCGUGCCUAAUGGCCCCGUGGUAGUAUACACUCCCCACGGCAAUCCACUUCGGCACCCAAUCCCGCACGGGCGAGCAACUGUCGCGUAGGCCAACUCCGGAGUGCCGGCUUGUAGGGAGCUACCCUCACAAGCGUGUGCGAAUGAGCACGAUGGCAAGCAAGCAAAGUCCAUAAUCCAAUACAUCUCAAUCAUCACGUUUUAUCUUGCAAUGUUCUCACUCUCGAUCCUUUGAUCGGAAUUUCAAUAUAGCAGAUAUUGAACAUAGCUAGUAUCCACUAAAUUAGUAAUUAUGUAAGAGUAAUGCUAAUUUACUUAUAGCAUUAGAAACUUUCCACUAUCAUAGCACUAUGGUUAUAGUCACAAAGCAUGUCAUUGUUCUCUACUUUAUAAGAUUGUUAUUGUUCUCUACUUUAAGAACAUACUAGAUUGUUCAUGAAUCAUUCAACUGAGCCAAACAUAAACAUGUUUACUUCUAUGCAUGCAUUUCUCUACUUAAGAAAGAUUUCAAUUCACUACACAUACAUAUAUCAACUAUGAUGGUGAUAAUGUCCUGAAUCUAUGUCGAUUUCCAAGUUACGCCAAAUGCAUUCAUAUGCUAUUUCUAUAAUAUCAUAUAGAACAUAGGAGAGCUUCACUUGCUCUGGUUAGGUCAAACUCAUCUAUUACUAGGCUCAAAUCAGCCCAAAUGAGUCUCAAGAUUUAGCUCACUAGACCUCGACUCGGCUGAAAACGAAACGUAAGAAUCGCGUCACCACGAUUACUAAAAGUCCAAUUUCGGCAAAACUCUUAAUUAGAAUAAGAUAGUAACUUGAAUCCCUGUUUUGGUACACUGUAGUACCUUACGUUUAACCUCCAGAAGCGCUCACAAGUCAGCAGCAGGCAAUCCAACGGUCGAUUGCACCUUUGCUGCGAGCAAUAGCCAAACGGCAUCAAUAAGCUUGUGUACAAGCUACUAUAAUCGAAUUCUUACUAAAUCAGUUUUAGAACUGAAAUUCUUGCUUACCUCAGGUUAGAACACCUUCUAAACCAGUUUCCAAGGUCACCAAAUGAGCUCAAUUAACUCGGAAACCUACUGCGAACAACGACCCCAAAAUCAGCUUUUUAUCGUUGAAUUAGUACCCAAACAAAGAAGAAAGAAAGUAGUUUACCUUCUUAAACCAUAAACUCAGUCCCAACUGAGUUAAUCAACAAUAUCUGACCCUAUUACAGCAGCAAAUCCACCUUUCUCUCAGCUGAACAACAACAACCCAAAAUCAGCACUUGACUCGACUAUUAAAGCAUCGAUUGAGGAAUAAUUGAGUCGAUUACCUUCUCAAGCUUCCAACCAGCACCCUACUGGUUCAGAGCUGCGAAAAACCUUCCAGAACACUCUCUUACACGUCCACGGAAGCUCUGCGACGCUCGCAAACAGCGAAGAACAGGCGAGGCGACAAAAACGAGCUAAUUCGGCGAUUUCUAUGUAGAGAGAGAAAAAACCCUAGUGAGAGAGAGAGAAGAAGGUGGAAGAACAAUCCUCUGAGCUCCAGCAACCUCUACUGAGCUCCUACAGUUGUGCUGGGCAUAAGGGAUAAGAACAGGAAGCAAAGAGACCAAAAAAAUCUUGCUGCCACGCACCUGCUGCAGCUGCUGCUUGCUGUACCGGUACAGCAUAAUACCUGUACCGGUACAGCAUAAUGCCUGUACCGGUACACAAUGCAAAAUUCGAAGAUAAUGCUACAGCAAUGCACUUUCUUACUUUUGGCCAUCCAAUCAUUCUCUAACUUAUCCAAAAACUUGCCCAAGCCUUUUAGAACAUGUCGGAUAGAUCCACAUAUCCUUCCUCAUACUCGAACUUCGCAAUUUGCAAAAAUUCAGUGUAUUACAUAUUCGCAUUCAUAUUUUUCUUCGAAUGCGAAUUCGAAUGUAGAUAUAUAUCAUAUGUUAAAUUUUUAUUAUAAUAUCCAUUAAAAAUGGAUUCGGAUUCAGAUGUAAGUCGGAUUUGCAUUCCAAUAUUAUUCAGAUAAUAAUAUAUUAAUAUGCAUAUAUAUAAAUAUGAGCUAAAACUAAAGCUAAUAAGACAUAUAAUGAAAUUAAAGGUUCACACUGAAAUUCAAAAUAUCUAUUUACCCCUAAAGGACCAAAAUAUCCUUAUUAAUUUUAAAAAACUUCUUCAAUGAUGUGAUUGAGUUUUAAAUGGGUAUUUUGAUAAUUUGAGAAUAAAUUUGAAAAUUUUGAUAGUGGUAAGAGAUAAAUAAGCAAAAAGCCCUCUAAAUUUAUAGAAGGUAUAAAAUAAAUUAGGAAUUUAUUUUUAAAAAAUAAUAAUAAUAUCUUACAAAUCUGUUUUAAAAUAUCUUACAAAUCUGUAAUAAAUCUAGUGUUGAGUUUUAGGGUGUGUUUGGUUCCACGUAAAAUUGUGGAAAAAAANAUGUGUUCUGCACCUUUGCAUUAUUAUCUCUUUAGUGCGUUACUUAAGUGAAAUUUUAGCACUUUGCCAUUUUCUACUAAGCAGGUUUCCUCUAACUUUAGGAAAACAAACCAUGCAAUAUGCUCCUACUGUAAUUUUGGAAUGUUCGAUCUUAUUCUAUCUCUUGCUAGCUAUAUGCUUCUCAUGCAAACUUACCUCUUUGCUAGCUAAAGCUUACUUUUACUGUGGUCCAUAAUGUUCUUGUAUUCUUUAACUGCAACCUUUCAUAAAUACAUUGGUCUCCCUCUCUCUCUCUCUCUCUCUCUCUCUCUCUCUCUUAUAUGAACAUUGAACACCAACACAAAAGGCGUGCUCCACAAGCUACUCCUCUCUCUCUCUCUCUAGAACUCUCUCUCUCUCUCUCCCUUCUCGAACCCUAACGAUCCCCUGAUCCGAUCUCUCCCCAUUCGAGUUUGGAUCGAUCGGAGCAUCUCGAAUCCCACCCGCAUUGCCCGCGAUUCGACGGAUCUGGAGAGGUAGGUAUGGUAUAGGGCUUCGGGGGGGAGGUCUCUGGCCAUGGCGGCGGCGGCGGAGGGCGCGAUCGGAGGAGGAGGAGGAGGAGGAGGAGGGGUAGGGGAGGGGGCGUGGGUGUUCGACGAGCGCGACGGGUUCAUCUCGUGGUUGAAGGCGGAGUUCGCCGCGGCGAACGCGAUCAUCGACCUCUUCCUAGCCCACCUCGGCGAGAUCGGCGCGCCCGGGGAGUACGAGCACGCGGCCGCGUGCGUCCACCGGCGGCGGGGCCACUGGGCCCCCGUGCUCCACCUGCAGCAGUACGUCCCCGUCUCCGAGGUCUUCUUCGCGCUCCAGCAGGCCGAGUGGCGGCGGUACCACCAGGCGGCGGCGGCGGCGGCGGCGGCGCCGUACCCUCGGCAUUUUGACGGGCCGAGGGAGAAGGAUGGGAGGAGGGGAGGUGGGUUUGCGAACCGGGGUUACCGGUUCGAUGGGGCCGGCGGGAAUCGCGGCUCGGUAUCCUCGGCUUCGGCGAGAUCGGAUGCGGAGAAGAGGGGAGAUGUGGUGGAGAAGGGCGUGGAUGUGAAAGAGCGGGUUGAAGCUUAUGCGAAAGGGAAUAGUUCGUCGGAUGCUUUAUCGGAGAAUGCAGGUGAGAACGGAUCACUGCUUCCUAUCUUAAAAAUUCUGAUACUAUUAAAAACUUGCAUUGUUGUCCAACAUCUUGUGCUUUUUACCGAUAGGGUUUUAUGAGCUUUACUUCUUGUCCUAGAAACUUCAUAUCUUGCCGUUUUUCGACCAUCGAUUCCUCAAUUGGCACAAUAAAUCAUGAUUUUUUGUCACACUGUUGUGAAAUAAUGUGAAUUAUUGGCUGUAAAUUGACAAUUUCCCAUUUUGAUAGACUUUUUGGGGGCAAAUAGCUGAUUUGAUGGGUGGCCAAGUGGGGGGAUACAUGCUGUUGUGUGCUUUAAUAUUUUCUUCCAUGUGUUGCAUUGUGUUCAGGUAAUGAUCUGAGUAGCUCAGAGACAAAUUGUGGACAGAAGGAAGGGAAAAAGCCAGUUGGCAGCGUGUGUAGUAAGUUGGAGCCUGCUGCCACAAAUGAUGUCCAAGCACUAUCUGAUCAAGGUAUCAUUUUGACUCAGUGAUGUGUAAAACCUAUCAUUGCUUUCAUGAGGAAUAAAUGGUUAACAUGCCUUAGCUAUGACUCUUUAUUGUGAUCUUAUUUCAGAUUUGUGGAGAUUUUGUCGAAAUUCAGAUCUAUGUUUAGAUAUGAUUGAAGAUACUGUAUAUUUAGCUAUUUAAGGACAUGUUAAAGGUGCGAACAUAACACAAGAGGAGAAUGCUGAGGAGGAUGAAUGGUAAAACUAACAUAUGAAAUAUAGGAUUAAAAAUAAGAUAUUUUGUUUAAGGUGGAAUUGCCUAAAUUGAGUGCAAAAUGCCUGAAGGCCAUUUGAGAUGGUACUGCCCUAUAUACAUGCUAUUGGAUUAGUCUGAAAGUGUGAAGCUGUCGAAGUAGGUGAUGUGGAAAGAGAGUAGAGGGAGACUGAAAAUGAUGUAGUUAGGAUGACCAUGAAAAUUUUAGCUGCUCUAGAUAUUAGAGAAGAGAUACCUCCAGAUGGGAUUCUGUACAGGAAGAGGAUUUCUACUCCCUAUUUCCUUUAUUUUUUUUUAAGGAUUUGCUGACCUCAAUUUGCAUAUAAGUUCAAGUUAAGUGGAGUUGACAUACACGAUAUUUAACGUUUGAGCUAGUGAAGUGUGGUUCUUUUGUUUUUGGAAUAUUAUUAAUGUACUCACUCUUCCUAUUGAAAUAAAAAAAUUAAUAGAGAAAAGUCAGAUGAUGUGACUGCAUUGCAUGUUCAGAUAGGAAUUCUGUUUGAUACUAAUACCACCAAAGAGUCAGAAUAUUGGUGAUAGAGAUGGGUGCUUUGAAUUGUUUUAUUUUUCAUUUUGAUUUGCCAUAUUAUUCCAAGAUAUGAGCUGGACUUCCUAUGCCUUCUAUGUGUAUUUUCCUUUCAUUGGUACAUCUCAUAGAGCUCAUUGUGGUAUGCCAUAGAUUCAUGUAGAACAGGUAGUCAUUCAACCUUCUAUUCUUCUUUACCAUAACGACAAUCUAAUUUGUGCCUUUUGAGUCUAGAUUUUACUGCCUAUAGAUUUCAGACAAAGAUGUAUGCCAGUAUAAGUUUAUUUUAUUCAGUUAUUGUGGGUGAAAAAAAAUCUAUGCAAAGUGACAUAUGCUGGAGAAUUUUAGAGUUUGUAAGAUUCUUAGAGAUCAUCCCUUAUUGGUGUAAGAAAUGACCUCCUCAUAUAAAGGUCUCCUUACUUGUAGUAAAGCUAAAACAUAUACUUCCAUUAGAUACUUAACAUUUCUUUUACAGUCUUUGUAAUGUUCUUUUCGCACAAUUUGUGUCAGUGAGAACUUUUCCUCAGUUGGAUGCAGUUUUCAGUGCCCUGCAUUUUAAUUUCUCUUUUAAUUGAUAUAAGCAUGGUUAGAACUGGAGAAGAACUAUAACUUGAUGGCUUCAAAUUUGAUCCUCUCUCUUGUAGUUCAUGAUUCAUGAAACAUGUAUCUAGUAAUGAAUUCGAACUUUAAUGUGUAUAGUGUUAAAUGAGUUCUGCAGGUAUUUCUCUGUUGUUUGCAGGGAGGAAAAUUAAUUACCUUCCUUUCUUUGAAGUCUCUUAUCCUUGUGCACAUUCUUAUGUUAGUUCUUUUACACAAAAACUUUUCCAGUAUAAAUAAUCACUUGAAAUUUUCUCCGUGUAUUCACUUUUUCUUGCUUUUUCAUAGACUUUGCAUGCAUCUAACUCAAUACUCUUAUUAGUCUUGGCUCAUUCUUUGAUGCUCUGGCAUCUGCUUCUGUUUUGUUUGUAUUCUCAACUUCUUAUCACUUUAUUCAUUGUUUUCCUUUUCUUAAUCAACAUAUUAUGUAUGUCGUGUUAUCAGUAACUUCAUCAGAUUGUGCUUGUGUGAUCAAGGGAAUGUCUUAAAUAACUUAUCUUUCUUCUGUUUUAUAAUUGUCCAGGAGAUAUCAGUGAUUAUGUUCCACACAGUAAUGGCACUGUGACAACAAAUAUUGAGGGAAAGGGGAAACCAAUACCAAUCCCCAAAGAUUUUGAGGUUAAUGAACAAAGUGAUGGCAGGAUAGUACGUCUUCUUAUGCCGCUUCCUUAAAUGAUCUCUUAUCUGGUCCUUAGAACAAGACUCAUUGUGUUAUAUUGUUUUCCAUCCUAACAGUCAAAAUAUGACAUUUUUCCUCUAGGUUAAUAUAGUUGAAGGUCUUAAGCUCUACGAUGGAUUACUGGAUGCAACAGACAUGAAUCAGCUACUUUCAUGGGUAAAUGAAAUGAGAUCUGCUGGUCGUCGAGGAGAAUUACAAGGUAAGCUCGCCUUUGGCUAUCCUUUCCGACUGGACUUUAGAAACUUAUAUAUAAUUUGAUCAUUCGAUGUAAUAUAUAUGCUAAUAUAUGCGGAUCUGUUAAUUAUAUUUUCUGUGAUUUAAGAACCAGAUGCUUUGACGUGACAUUGUUUGUUAAAUUUGGCUUAUUUUUUAGGGAAAAAACAUUUUCUUGGAACGUGUUAUUUUUAGUACCAAUGUAAUGUAUGCUCGGUUUUUCUUUGCACUUUAGCAGGAUAAUUUUUGAAGGAUUUUCUGGCUGUCGCAUUUAUGACAUGUUGGCAAAUACCUUAAAUUCUGUAAUUUGCAAAUAAUUGUAUGAAUCACUCCUUCCUGUUUAUUUCUCAUCUUGAAGAGCAAAAUAAUAGCUUAUUGCUACUUUUUAACUUGUCAUGGGAUAGAAAUUUGUCUUGCAUUUGUGAUCUUUAUGUAAGUGUGGAUCUUAUCUUAUUGACUUUCUUGACCCUGCAGCUUCUUCUAGAUAUACACUUGUGUUAGGGAGCUUGAUACUUUCAGGGUAUAGCUUGAAUAACUGGAAUUCUAGAAUAUGGUGUUUUUUUUCUUGAAUAUACUGUUUGAUAUGAAUAAUCUUAAAAUUGCAGGAAAACUUGGUAGUAGCAUGGUAACCUGAAAAAAAAAUACAACACUCAAACAGUCAAUUUAUGAGAACACAGAACGUCAAUAUUAUACCCCUACGCAUGCAAACUCGCACUUUUACUUCUUUCUUCUGUGAUCUAUUGCCCCAUUGUAACCUGGACCGCGUCCCUCCCCUUCCCCUCCCUUCUUUUGCUAGUUUUGGUGUACUUCCUGACAGCCUGGCGACCCGCCAGCAAUGUGCCAUCCCUCUCUUUCUCUAUCUAGCUCCCAUUAAUCCCUUCUUCCCUUACCCUUCCCUCUCUGAGUGGUGAGGCCUUCUGGCACUGUGGUUACCUGCCAGCUACCAACAAUCAGCCUAUGCCCAUAUGACCAGCUAGCGAUUGACUUAUGCCCAUGGUGAUUUCCUCCUCAUGGCAUGAUGGCCUGCCAAUAGUCGGCAUACAGCUUGCGUGCUCGUGCAAGCUUGCCAGCGCUCGCUAACCCUCGUCCCCCGCAGCCUUUUAAUCCUUUCAGCAAUUGGUUUGGGCCUGCGUCUGACUUGUGUCAUGGCGAUCAGUAUGUGACUAUUCCCCUGCCUCUCCCUCUCCUCUCACCUCCCUUCUCCUCCCGCAUGGCCUCAGGAAAAGUUCCUUCAAGAGGACAAUGGAAACACUUUGUUACCUCGAGUAAAGUGCCUGAGAUGAAUCGUGCCUAUUUCAACAGUUUUCUUUACCUUGGAUUUUUCCUUAGGUAUUUAAACCAAGCCGCAUGUUUUUUAUUUAGCCUACUCUUUUUCAAAAAUUGAAGGAACACUUUCAGACCAAUUAAAUUGAUUCAACUUAGAACUGUUCUUCCCAUCUCAUAGGGCUGCUUAUCUUAACCAUAACUUUUAUGGAUAUCUUUCUUUUUUUGGCGGACUUAAGAUAAAGUUUGUCGACUUGUCGUCGUCACUUCUGACGUAUUACUUUGGGAGUUUCCUUUUACAACUUAAAUUGUUGAAGAGUGCUUGCGCUUUGCAUGGUGUAAACAUAUGGCCUUUAAUGUAAAAGUGCUUGCACUUUGCAUGGUGUAAACAUAUGGCCUUUAAUGUAUAAUAAUUAACACAUAUUUCUGCAUCUUCAUAUUAUAUAGAAAGUUAAAAGCUGUUUUCAGCGUUAUGCUUUUGAAAUUAUUUUUCUAGUAUAGAAACCCUACGAACUUUGUUCUAUUGUACUAGGAAGGUAUAUAUAUUUUCCUUUGGCUGGCGGAAUUUCUGAUUUGUGUGGAUGAACUGAUGAAGCCUUGGUAAUUAGUCAUACUUAUGUCCUUCGUCCUUAUGUAGAUGAACCGGCUGCUGGCAUUAGCAGUGCAAAGCUGCUUCCAAUAAUGCUGGUUUUAUCUGGAGCUUGGGUUUCUUUGCCCAUGUGCUUGGUGGUCGAUACUGCCCUACAAAUGAUGUUAAUUUAUAUGCUGUUAUGUGUGCCUUCUUUUUUGACCCCAUAUUUUAGAUAGCAGUUUUUAACAGUUUUUUAGUGUGGUUAUGCAUGUAGACGUGAUAUUUAGUACCAAAUCUAUAAGGUCAUUUAGGUUUGUUAUUGUUGAUAUAGGGGCCACCUAAUAACUAUAUUCUGGGAUCAAGGAAAAUAUAUAAUGAUUUUUGUGGAUCUCCUCUCUCUUUCGUGUCUAUCAUUUGUUAAUUUGACGAUUCCCUUAAAGAAAAUCACUUCUAGUUUUUCUCUUUCUUAUUUUCCACUUUGAUUAUGAAAAACAGGGCAGACGAUGAUGAUAGCAAAGAGACCAAUGAAGGGUCAUGGAAGGGAAGUGAUUCAGUUAGGCAUUCCCAUGGUUGACGGCCCUCCAGAAGGUAAAAACACUGCCCAAAUUUCCACAGGUUUUACUGUCCGAUGGCAAAAUUUAAUUAUUAAAUCAGUACUCGAAAUUUUGUGGUAAUGAAUUUAUCUAAACAUGUGCUCAUAAUUUUAGAUCGAAAGGUGGAGGCCAUCCCUAGCAUAAUGCAGGAUGUGCUUGACCGCUUAGUACGGCUCCAAGUUUUGCCGGUCACACCUGAUUAUUGUAUUGUUGACUUCUUUAGUGAGGUAAGUCAUUCUUUCUAGUUUCUGUAUCAAAAUAUUGUUGAGAAAAAUAAAUAGUGAGCCUCACAUAUGAUGCCACUUUUAUAUAGGGGGAUCAUUCUCAUCCUCAUAUUUGGCCACCUUGGUAUGGUAGGCCUGUUUCUACUUUAUGCUUGACUGAAUGCGACAUGGUCUUUGGCCGAGUAAUGGUGUUUGAUAGAGGAGGAUAUAAUGGUGCUCUACACCUAUCUUUGCAAAAUGGGUAUGUCUUUUAUUGCAUUUUGGCUAAUUCAUCUCUACCUCUGGAAUCAGUUAUUUAGUUAGCAUAACUGCAUGAUUUUCCUAAAAAGGCACAGUUUUUUCUUCUCUUUCCUUUAAUUAAUAUAUAUAUGCUUUUCCUUUUUUUGGCGUAUUCUCAACUCUUUUAUUUGUUCUGUUAUCUAUGCACUGUUCACUUUGCAAACUGCAUGGCAAAGUCAUCUACACUUCGUUUACGGAAUCUAGUAAAUACUGAGCUGGGUAUAGAGAGUGACGAGAAUCGUGCCUUUUCUUAGGCUUCAAGUGAGAACUUUUAAGGCAAAUCCCAUUUUAUGCUUGAUGUUCUGCAUAUUAAUGUUUGGUAGAGUAAGUCUCUUAAGGAAAUAUGACAUUCCUCAUUGCUUAUACUUCUCUCCAAGCUUUCAACAUGCUUGUUGGAUGAAAGCAUCUAAUACAUUUUCUUCAUCAUGUUGGUAUCUUUCGUAGUUUCCAUUUGAGAUCCUUGCCCAAAGAAACUUUAAAAGAAGUUCCUGUAGUUGGUUCUUCAUCAUGUAUGGCAUCUUUCGCUGUUUUCAUUUGAGAUGACCAAAGAAGCUUUAAAACAAGUUCCUGUAGUCGGAUCCAUUUUGGCUGAUUGAUGAAUCGAAUCUAAUGCAUAUUUCUUGUUCUUUCCAGGUCUCUCCUCCUGUUGCAGGGUAAAAGUGUGGACCUCGCAAAGCACGCCAUCCCCUCCAUGCGCAAACAACGAAUAUUACUCACUUUCGGAAAGUCCCAACCGAGAAGGAACUCUUGGUCCGAAAACUCUCGCUUCAAUUCACCCUCUCCGCCUCCGUCCUCGCCAUGGGGUCCGCCAUCAUUUAGGACGCCCAACUUCUCCCGCCACCCUCCGGGCCCUAAACCCUACGGGGCGGUCCCCGUGACUGGCGUCCUCCCGGCCCCACCCAUCCAUCCACAUCAACACCUCGCUCCACCGCCCAACGGAAUCCAGCCGCUCUUCAUUUCACCGGCACCCACUGCGGGCCCUGCAGCUGCCCCUUACCCUCCGCCGGCGCCCGUCGCAAUACCGAGGCACUCUGCUCCGUGGCUCCCUCUCCUCGGCACGGGGGUCUUCCUCCCUCCCGGCUCUUCGCAAACAACUCAAGCUCUCCAACCUCCAGUUUUUCCCUCUUCUGGCGAUCCUAGCUCCUCCCAUCCAGAGACUUCUUCUUUGCUCAACACCAAGUGCAUCGGGACGGAAUCAUCAAAUGGCCACAGUUCUUCUCCCCAAACUUCUCCUAAGAACAAAUCAAACGAGACGGGAGCUAAACCCGAGUGCAAUGGGGAUUCAAACCACACUAGCAAUGCUUCUCAAAAGACGAUUUCGGUUAAGGAACAGGAAAAUGAUGGCCCAAAGGUUGCGAACAAGCCCGCGAGUAAUGGUGCUAACUAGAGGAAACAGGAACUGUAUAGAUACGAAAGGAGGACGGAAAAAAAUGGGAUUCUUUCGCCGGGAACAACUGUGAAUGGUUAUAGCUGGAAUUGUUUAAACGAGUCGCAUCGCACAAAAUGUAAAUCGCGGGAGAGGGUCAAGUGACUUAUAUAUGUUAGUCGUGACGCGAGAACUUAUUUAAAUUUUGUAGGCGCCGUUACGCCGCCUGAAUUUUACCUUUUUAAUUUUUUUUUUUUCCUUUAGGGUUUGCUGUUUAUUAUUGUCAAACUUACAAACUAUUUAGUUUCUAUUGAAUCAGGUGAAGAGGCUGGAGUAAUCUGUAGGGACUUGUUCAAGUGCAGGUGCGAUCUAUCUUUACAAUUUAUGAAUUCUAAAUGCUUUUUAUUCUGCACUAUUGCCGACAUUUUUGCCUCACUUCUUUCUUAGUUAAAAUAUACAAAAGUUACAUGAACUACGGAUCAUUUUGAUUUGGCUAUCUAAUUUAUUUAAAAUUUGAUUUUAGUAUUUAUUCUUUCAAAUUUUUUUUUUUUGAUUUGAGUCGGUCAUCGGUAUUUUGACUUUAAAAUUUUAGCUAAUUACUGAAAUAAUUUUGUAGUUACGAGAGCUGCAUAAAAUAUAUACUAAUUAAAUCUGUAAAGAUAAACAAUAUAUUUAAAAUUUGAAAUUAAAGUAUCGUUAAUUGAUUCAAAUUAAAUAAAUUGAAAGAUUAGAUAGCAAAAUCAAAAUUUUUAGAGGUUGGAUAGAUAGUUCAGAGAAGUUUUGUAUAUUUUUAUCUCAGUUUUAUUAUAUGCUUUCCUAAACUAGAGAACAUUUUAAAUUGCCCCCUCAAUUCCAAUUUUUGAUCCGCACUGUUUAAAUCUUUGGGUUUUUUUUUUUAUUUUUUUUAUUUUUUUUUUGAAUUGAAUGAUUUUGGGCGAUUUAACAAUUUCAUCCAAUUCAAUACCUCUAAUUACAUUUUAGCAAAUAAAAUCAGAACAAAUAACGGCUCACGGGUAAUUGAGUUGGGAAAUUAACACAUUUUGUUAUUUUUCAAAGUAGAAUAAUUCAAAUGAAGAAACUUGGAUUUAAGUUGAGGGGCCUAUUUUAAAACAGGGCCUAUAGUUGAGUAAAAAGCAUUUAAGUUAUAUUUAUGACUUUAUUAUUUGUACAGAUAUUUACACAGCUUUAAAAUACAGAAAAAAAUUACUUCUUCUAUUCCAAUAACUAAAACAUAAUAAAAAAUAAAAAGAUAUAUUCACUUUACUCUUCAACAAGUAUAUAUUCAAAACUAUAAAGUGUUUCUUUCUUUCUUUUUUUUUUUUGAGGGUUGGAUUUAACAAAAAAAAAAAAGCGAAAAAUACAACAAGAAAUAUAAAAUCUAAAUAAUAAAUGGUAAAUAAAUGAGUGUUAUUUCUAAUCUUUUAAUGUUGGAAAAGGUAAAGAGGAUCAAAAAGGAGAGUACAACAUAAUGGCACAUAUAUAUAUAUAAUAUAUAUAUGGAAAUGGAAAUAUGGGCACUUCCAUAUAUAUAUUAAUAUAUAUAUAUAUAUAUAUUAUAUAUAUAUAUAUAUAUUAUUAUAAAUUAAUUGGAUAUAGAUGUAUUAACCACAGCAAAUUCCAAAUAUUGUUGAUGGAAAAUAUUUUGACAUAAAAGGACAAUCAUCUAUGCACUGUAGCAUUUUGAGCAAUUUUUUUUUGUAGGGCUCUCAACAAGCGGCUCUUGUUAACUCAGUAUAUUAAACGAACUAACCAUUAGUUGGCUCGUUAAAAUAUCUCAAACAUGAGUUGGCUCGUUAAAAUAUCUAUAAAAUAUCGACUUUUUUAAUGAGUCGAAUAUGAUGUUUGCUUGCAAGCAGCAAAUUAAAUUAUCAGCCCUACUACUAAGUAAGAAGUUUAAGAGUAAAAAUAAAAUUUUAAUCAAUAAUUAAAAUUCGCUAAAAUGUAGUGCUUUUACAUUUGAAUUUGGUCUAAAAUCUAAAUAAUAAAUUUAUUAUUAUAUACUAGUAUAUAUAGAGUAGAGGCUAGAAUGCUAUGCGUAGCAAAGCUGCAUCUAUUGCCACCCAUUUGUUUUCGAUGAUGGAAUCUGUUAAUUGACGAUCGUGGGCAAUCCAUUGAACAGGGAUCUAUACCAUUGACAUAUCUAGAUCAAAUUUCAAUAUCAUUUUGACAUCAUUAACCCAAGAUCAAAGGGUGUCAAAAAUUGUAAUUUUAAUGUAGAUUAUGAGGCUUUUCUUGUUUAACGGGUGUAAAGUAUCAAAUCAACUUGACAUUUUGGUUAGAAUAUUAUUAUAUAUAAUAUAUAUAGUAUAUAUAUAUAUAUAUAGUAUUAUUAUAUAUAAUAUAUUAUAUAAAUUAUAUACUACUAUCGAAUAGUACGUAGCCCUUGUACUUUGAGUUUUCAGACGUGGAUGAAAAGAUUGUGCGGUAGGAUGAAUAGUGCGUCCCCGUUAAAUUGAUAGUUGGUCCCCCAGAGUGUUGAGGUGGUUGGUUUAAAGUUAUAACUCUAAGCGAGGUGAAAUGCAUCAAAAGGGUAUGUCUAUACGGUUAGAAAACUCAUAACGUUACCAAGGCUUGGUACCUAUCGAUAGUUAUAGUAGCCGACUCUAAAUACUAUAAUAUAUAUAUANNNNNNNNNNNNNNNNNNNNNNNNNNNNNNNNNNNNNNNNNNNNNNNNNNNNNNNNNNNNNNNNNNNNNNNNNNNNNNNNNNNNNNNNNNNNNNNNNNNNNNNNNNNNNNNNNNNNNNNNNNNNNNNNNNNNNNNNNNNNNNNNNNNNNNNNNNNNNNNNNNNNNNNNNNNNNNNNNNNNNNNNNNNNNNNNNNNNNNNNNNNNNNNNNNNNNNNNNNNNNNNNNNNNNNNNNNNNNNNNNNNNNNNNNNNNNNNNNNNNNNNNNNNNNNNNNNNNNNNNNNNNNNNNNNNNNNNNNNNNNNNNNNNNNNNNNNNNNNNNNNNNNNNNNNNNNNNNNNNNNNNNNNNNNNNNNNNNNNNNNNNNNNNNNNNNNNNNNNNNNNNNNNNNNNNNNNNNNNNNNNNNNNNNNNNNNNNNNNNNNNNNNNNNNNNNNNNNNNNNNNNNNNNNNNNNNNNNNNNNNNNNNNNNNNNNNNNNNNNNNNNNNNNNNNNNNNNNNNNNNNNNNNNNNNNNNNNNNNNNNNNNNNNNNNNNNNNNNNNNNNNNNNNNNNNNNNNNNNNNNNNNNNNNNNNNNNNNNNNNNNNNNNNNNNNNNNNNNNNNNNNNNNNNNNNNNNNNNNNNNNNNNNNNNNNNNNNNNNNNNNNNNNNNNNNNNNNNNNNNNNNNNNNNNNNNNNNNNNNNNNNNNNNNNNNNNNNNNNNNNNNNNNNNNNNNNNNNNNNNNNNNNNNNNNNNNNNNNNNNNNNNNNNNNNNNNNNNNNNNNNNNNNNNNNNNNNNNNNNNNNNNNNNNNNNNNNNNNNNNNNNNNNNNNNNNNNNNNNNNNNNNNNNNNNNNNNNNNNNNNNNNNNNNNNNNNNNNNNNNNNNNNNNNNNNNNNNNNNNNNNNNNNNNNNNNNNNNNNNNNNNNNNNNNNNNNNNNNNNNNNNNNNNNNNNNNNNNNNNNNNNNNNNNNNNNNNNNNNNNNNNNNNNNNNNNNNNNNNNNNNNNNNNNNNNNNNNNNUAUAUAUAUAUAUAUAUAGUCUUCUAUACUAUCUAUAGUACCAGGGCUUCGGUAUUAUAGUCUCGUUUUUGAUCUUAGGGUGUUCAAAUCAACGAUUCACACAGUUAAAACUGAUCUUGGGUAUUUAAAGUUUUUAGAAAUAAAAUUUUAUAUUUUUUCGAUAUAGUUUACUUUAUGAUCAAGUCAUUUUAAAAUUGUCAAUUUUCAAUGGCUACUAUAGCGAGUUCGGAGUUUAACGGUGUAAAAGAAUCUAAAUUUCUUCAAAUUUUGAUAGAAAAUACUUUAAACUAUCUAGAUUAAGGUUAACAUUCUUGAUCUUGAAUUUAAAAGUCCUAUACUCAAAUUUUAAAGAUUAUUCAAUUUUUACCGUCCAUUUUGACAUAAUUUAUUUACUAAGUAAAUGUCGAAAAAAGCUAAAAUUUUAUUCUUAAGAACUUCAAAUAUCCUAGAUUAUAUUUAACGGUGUGGAUCAUUAAUUUGAAUACCCUAAGAUCGAAAACAAGACUAUAGUACCGGAGCUCCGGUACUAUAGAUAGUAUAAUAGCCUAAUUCUCUCUCUCUCUCUCUCUCUCUCUCUCUCUAUAUAUAUAUAUAUAUAUAUAUAUAUAUAUAUGGAGCUACUAUGCUAUCGGAAGUAUAAAGUAGUCGGUGCUUCCGAUUUUUGAGCCCUUGGAUCAAAGAUUUUGCGAUUGGGAUGAUAACGAUCCUCUUAAGGUUGAGUGGUCCCUCUAGGGUUGAGUGGUCCCUAUUGGUUAAUAAUAUUAAUCCAAUGGUUAGAAAUGAUCAAUGAGGUUGAUUUAAUGGCUAAAAAAUCGAAAGCACCAACUACUUUAUACUUCUGAUAGCAUAGUAGCUCUACUAUAUAUAGAGUAUGGCUGCUAUGCUAUCGAUAGCACUAAACACUUGGUGCUAUCAAGUUUUCUACCAUUAGAUUAACCUUUUUAUUAUUUUUACUCGUUAGAUUAUACUAUUCAACCAACUACCCACUUAACCCUAGGGGCCCACAUCAUCCUAACAGCACAUUUUUUAAUCCAAAAGCUAAAAAACUAAUAGCACCAAUAGCUUGGUGCUAUUAAUAGAAUUCCAGCCUAGUUUUAUAUAUAUAAUUGGACUGGAAUACUAUUAAUAGUAUUUGAAUUUUUUUACUAUCAAUUUUUUAACCCUUAUAGAUGAAAAUUUAUAGAUUAGCUAAAUUAGAUUAUAGGAUUUAAUUACAACAGUUAUGAAUAUUCGAAUUAAAAAUUAUAAUAACUUAAAAUUUAAGUAUCAAAAUAUCACCCAUCUUAUAGUUUUCGGGCCAAAUGUGCAAUGUACCCUUUUAAAAAAUAUCAAAUUGUGUGUGAUCAACCCUCUUUUUUUUUUUGUUUUUUAAGUUUUAGAAAGGUAUAAGACAUUAGAACAGCUUAAACAAGUAGUACAAAUGGUCCCUGUACUUUUGUUUUUGGCAAUUUAGUCUCUGUACUUUUACUUAAAAUAUUUUAAAAAAAAGAGGGUUGAUCCAAGGAUAGUUAUAAAUUGAGAUAUAAGCGGAGAUUACAUCAAUUUUACGUUUAGAUGAAAAUUGUAUUAUUCUUGAGAAUUAAAAAAAAAACGUUUGGUCAGGUAAGAUUGAAUAAGAAGGGUAGUAGAUUUUAUAAAUAAAAAAUAAUGAUAUUACCCUUUUAAUAUAUUUGAAUUUAAAUUUUUAAAAUUUUAAUUUAUAUUUUUCAAUUUAAAAUUCAAACUUUGAAAUCUCAAAAUUUAAAAUUAAAGUUUUAAAUUUAAAAUCUCAAAUUUUAAAUUCAAAUUUUAAAUUUUAAAUUUCAAACUUUAAAUAUAAGAUCAAAUUUUAAUUUGAAAAAUAUAAAAUAUCAAAUUUUAAAUUUCAAAAAUUUAAAAUAUCAAAAUUAUAAUUUAAAAUUUAAAAUUUAGAAUUUAAAAUUAUAAACUUUAAUUUUGAUAUGACAAAUUAUAAAUUUUAAAAAUUUAAAAAUUUAAAAUUUAACUAUUUAAUUAGAUAAAUAAUAAUGAAUUAUAAAUAGAUUAUUAUUUAAAUAUUUAUUAAUUUAAUAACUUAAAUAAUUAAUUAUUAAAAAAUUAAUUAUAAUUUAUAAUUAUUUAUAACUUAAUUGGUAGAGGAAUAAAUUAGAGAAUAACUUGUUCCACCCAAUAGAUGGAACUACUAUUCUCCCCUCUUAACAGGUUAUUUCGAAAUAACCCGUUAACGCGGAUAAAUUAAUAUGCCUUUUUUUUUUUUUUUUUUUUAAGAAUAGUGGGAUAUAAGGUGUUAUUUUUCUUUUUUCCCACAACCAAACAGGGCCAUAAUAAGUGAAUAAUUAAUUUGCAAUGUCAUAGAAGGAUACNUAUUAACGUGCCAAUUUUGUUUGGUGUUUAGCAAGAAUAGUGGGAUAUAAGGUGUUAUUUUUCUUUUUUCCCACAACCAAACAGGGCCAUAAUAAGUGAAUAAUUAAUUUGCAAUGUCAUAGAAGGAUACAAUAAUUAUUUUAUUAGACAAAUUAAUCUUUUUCUUGAUGUUGGAAAAAUUACAGUGACCAAGUUGCAAUAUCAGGAUAGUAUAUGGACUAUCAUGAUGUCCACUAGAUAGACAAUUUUUUUUAAAAAAACUUAUUUUAGGUUUUUUUUUUUUUUUUUUUAAUUCUCUCAAUAUUUUAAAAUUAAAACUUCAAAAUCAAUCUAUCAUUUUUUUUAAGGCUCAAGAGCUCAUUAUUUAACUUUCAUGCCGCAAUAAAACCUUCAAAUUUCUUCUAUUUAUCAAACGCCGUGACUUUUGCUUCUGCUUUUCUUUCCGAACGUUGAAUAUAAAAAAUAUUAAAAUAUUAGUCUCUGAUUUCUUAAGUUUUUAGAGAACAACAGUUGUCUCUUAUAAUUUGGCAUGAUAUAAGAGUAGAAGAUCCAGAAUUUGAGUCUCACCAGUCUCCUAGCAAUUGAAAAAUAUCGAGCCCAAACACUUGAGGAAAAAUACUUAAUACAAUUUAUAUAAAAAUAUCGUUAUCUGAUAACUUAAGCUUUCAAAAAAAAAUUGAUUACUUCAUAUAAUUUAGCUCCCAAGCAUUUGAAACAAAAAAAUCAAUUGUUUUAUAUAAUUUAGCACCUGAUAAAAUUACUGUAAUGAUCCAACCCGCUAGCAACAAUAACUCGUUGGGCUCAAACCAUCGGUCCAAAAUGCUUAAACUCAGUUAUUAUUACUAGCGUGUAACCCUCAUAUAAACUGAUCGAAAUUAGUAUCCCAUCCGAUGUGAGACUAUUGGGGUGUUACAAACUCUUCAUGUUUAGAUUCUGAGGUCCUCAUCAGGUCCAAACUAGAUCACAGACAGACAGAGUAGGACCAGAAUUGUCAGACGAUGUGAGAUUCUAGAGAUGGCUCCUACGGGUUCAAGAGGUGGCUCCCACCAAAUCCGUUGGUGUAGCACUUUGUUCCGCAUAGCACUUAGCUCUCACACUUCCAGCUGGUAUUCGGCUCUGAUAACAGUUACGUACAACGACCCGAUCCGGUAGCAACAAUAAUUCGUUGGAUCCAAACCACCAGCCCAAAAUGUUUAAACCCAGUUUUUUUAUUAUUAACGUGUAGGCCUCAUAUAAACUGAUCGAAAUUAGUAUCCCAUUCGAUAUGGCACAGGUGUAACAAUUACAAAGCCCAAAUCAUUAAAAAUGAGUACAAUUUGUUCCUCAAUCACCGUCAAUAACAUCCUCAAUCAUCUUCAAUAACUCAACAAUUCCUCAAUCAUUCUCCAAUAACACAACAAUUACAAGAGCACUCAACAUCCCCUAUCAAUCAAACUUUUCCCCAACACAUCUCCAUCAUAACCCUAACUAAUUAAUAAGAAAUUUGCAAUUAAUCCCUCCUACAAAAUACAACAUUAUUAUCUUUUCCAACAUCCUACAACUUCUUACAACAACAAUUCCUACCUACAUUGCUGCAGGAUGAAACAACUUUCUAGUUACAACCUUGGCUAAGCCCCAUUCAUACAACACUCGACCGAAUGCGUCGUAGAACACGAAAUUCGCCUCGAGGGGGCUCAAUCGCAGCGACAUGAAUCCUUGCCCGUCGUAGAAGAACUGGAGCAUGUCGGAGUUCGGCCUGAAUGCUCCCCUCCACGCUUUUGACCCUCCCCCGCUCGUGAAGUACUGUAUCGGGCUAGUACCGCAAAAAAAAGGAAAAAAAAAGAUAGCGUAAGAUUCGAAAUACGAUUGACGAACGUCUGCAAUAGAGUAAAUAGCUCUGUGAACACAUGGAUUUCAUCGAGACGAAAAAGUAACUUACCUAUCAAUGCUACUAAUGUGCUGGAGACAAUGAUCAUGACCAUUGACGUAAAAGUCGACUUCGUGCGCCUGUGAAAAACAUUCAAUCGAUCGAGCAAAUUAAAGCAUUAGUACAAACUAAGUUGCUUUUAGAGAUUCGUUAUCGACGACGAGUCGAACUAUAUAACAAAGUUUAAGUACAUUAGAUUACAAGAUUAAUCAUUUUAUUGCCUUGAGGAUGGGGAGGAGUGAUUUGAGAAGCUCUUUGGUGUCGCCGUGCUCGCUAACGCUUCUCAUUGUGUGAUGCCCCACAACAAUUUUCCAUGUCGCAACCGAUUCUUUCAAUGCGGAGUCCAAAUCCUACGCACAGAUCAUAAAAACACCCAAAGUUAUCGACGAGAGCUCAAAUUUACGAUCAAUCACGCAUCUUUUACGCACCUUUGAGAGGUUUUCGAUGUAAGUUUCGCGGGGAGAAACCUCCCUCCAGUCAUAGUGAUGGUCCUCAGGAUCAGUCCAAUACUUGUUGACGAAAGGGGUGGUAUCGACGAAGAAAAAAUCCGCGAUUUCUGAGAGAAAGGAAAGCAAAAGAGAUAAAAGAUCGAGAAAGGUCGAUCGCAAAUAAUUAAACCUAAAUAAUCGGAGAAUAAUGUAAGUUUUUACCUGCAUUGACAAUAAAAGAUCUCAUGCAAGUGAAUCGGGGAUCGAUCCUUCGAACUGCGUCGCUUAGUUGAGCUAGAACAUCACCCCUAUAAUCAUGAUUUCCGAGAACUAGAGAAAUAACACAAAAAUCAACAAAAAUCGCGCUAAAACAUUUAUAUAUGUUAAUAACUAAAAAUUUAUAUAUAUAUGUGUGGCGAAAAAAUUAUUACCAGUGUACCAUGGCUUGUGUAGGCUCUUUGCAGUGUAAAUGUUGGAGAAUGAUUCUUCGAACGCAGUAUCGUUGACGCCCGUUAAACCAUUUUCGUAGAAAUUAUCGCCGGUGGAUAUAACAAAAUCUAUGUCUAAUUCCUCUCCAAUCCUUCCCAUCUAUAAAAUCAAUCACAUUUUACAAAAAAUUUGGUUACAUUAAUUAGUUUCAAACUACAUAUUUGUUACUUAAUCUUUUUUUUAUACUUUGAUAAUAAUUGGUUCCUAAUUAGGGUAAUUUGAGAAUAGGAAUAAUUUGUUACUCAUCUAACCAAUAAAAAAAGAGAAAAUUGUCACCUCGCUAAUUAAAAACCCAAAAACUAACCUAAACAAACUAUAAAAUUAAAAGAAAGGGAAAAAAAUUCAACAACAGCAUUGAAGAUGCUGAUGAAGAGGUCAGGGGUUCGAUCUUCUGCUCGUGCAACUAUAAAAUAUGGCUCGAGAAACAAACUAAAUAUAUAUAUAUAUAUGUAGACUCAAAAGUAGUUAUAUAAUAAUUAAGUUGGUGCGAAAAUUUAGACCUGAGUUGCGACUAGGGAUUGGUUGUAGUUCCCUCGUCUCCCCCAAUCGCCGACGACGAGAAGGCUCAACGACCCGUCGCUCUUCGUCGGCUGAUCGAUCCUCGUGAGCUCCGCGAUGGCCGGCCCCGAGCAGAACACGAGCAGGAUCGAGAGGAUCAGAACCAGAGCCAUGGUCGUAUCAGAAAUCGAUGUAACCAUGGCUCUGGAUCUUCAAGGAAAAAAAAGACAGCUUGCGUAUAAUGCAUGCGAGGAACAACACAAAUAAGCAAACUCCUAAAAAUAUAUAUUAUCUAAAUAAACACGCAUAUUUAAAAAGUGAGAAGUGAAAGCAAGUGGAAAGUGAGUCGUGUCGUAAAAGACACCACCUUGUUUUUAUUAGUGGAAGCAAUUUUGGUGUGCGUGGAGAGCGAGGAAAACGAGGGGUACUGGUGCGAGAAAAUGCUAUUUUGUACAUUCAAAAAAUAAGAUAUUUAAUUUUAAAAUUUUAUUCUGAAAAAGCCGUUCAAAUAAUCAAAAUUGAGGACGGUACUAGACGCACCCAAAAUUUUUGGCAACUCAUUAUUACACGUACCUAUCUAAAGUUUCAAAUAUAUUUUUUAAUUUUUUAUAUUUUUAAACAAAUAAAUAAGAGUAGUAUGAAAAUACAAUUUAUGUGGUUUCGCAUUUUUCUCACUUUACUACUCUAUAAUUUAAGUUGUAUUACUUUAGUAUUUUAUGUUUUCAAUUUUCUCUUUCUAUUAUCCUCUCUUUUAAUUUUUUCGUUAAAUCACUGACAAAGUUAAAAUUAUAGGGUACUAAAAUAAAAAUUCGAUAAAUCACAAGAUACUAAAGUGAAUAUUCGAUAAAUCAUAAGUGGGGUAUUUGAAGUUUUUUGUAAAUGAUUUAACGGAGAGUUAACGGUAGUGCUGAUAGAAAAAAGAAAAAUGAACCACAGUAUACUAAAGUAAUAUAUUUUAAACCACAUGAUAUUAAAAUGAGAAAGUGUGAAACCACACGUAUAGUAUUUGAAGUUUACCCUAAUAUAUGAUUUAUAUCUACAUUUUUUGGGUCUACAAGUAUUGUUACUUGCAAAUAAAAAAUAAAUAAAUAAUUUUUCGAUUGAAAAUUCCCCUUUGAUACAACACGUUGAGACUUUUCCCUCUAAUAGCUUAAAACAUAAUUAUUUUUUUGUGAUUUUUAUAUUAUUUUUGAAAGUAAACUAAUUUUAAAAAAUAAUAGUACACUAAUAUAUUCAAUAACAUUUAUAUAUGUGUCUAUAAUUUAUACCUAAAUUAUCGAUCUGAUUGGAGCCGCUUACGAUAUAUAAUUUAUACUCCAUUAAUUUUAAAGAAAACUUCAAAAAAACCCCUGUAGUUUCACACUUUUUUAUUUUAGUACCCUGUGGUUUAAGGUGUAUCAAGUUAGUAUAUAUUCUGUGGUUUCUCAUUUUAUCACUUUAGUACCCUAUGGUUUAGAGUGUAUCAAGUUAGUAUCAUGUAGUUUUGCACUUUAUCACUUUAGUAACCUGUGGUUUCACACUUAUCACUUUAGUACUCUGUGAUUUAAAAACCACAGAGUACUAACUUGAUGUAAAAUUAAAACCACAGGAUACUAAAGAGAUAAAGUGUAAAACCACAGGGUACUAACUUGAUACACUUUAAACCACAAGGUACUAAAGUGAUAAAGUGAGAAACCACAGGGUACUAACUUGAUACAUUUUUUAACCACAUGGUACUAAAGUGAAAAAAAUUGAAACCACAAGGGGGGUUUUUGAAGUUUUCCCUAAAUUUUACAAUAAGAUUUUAUAAAAAUAUUAAAAUAGAAAUUAAUCGCAAAAGAACAAUUAAAAUACUACACUUUGAACUAUAAUAAGGUGUUAGUUAACUGAGAAUUAAGUAUAAAUUAACAUAAGGAUCUUUUUGAAAGAUCCCGAAGAUGUGGGGGCCAAGUAAUAAAAUAAUAAAUUAGUGACGUGGCGGAACGUGGUUGGUUAGUGCCUUCACCGGGUGUUACCGCACCCGGUUGUCUCCAUGUGCGGUGUGGUCACUGCCCGGUGAUUUUAAGAAAUGGUGUUUCGCGUAGGUUAAUAAUAACAAUAUAUGAAAACCACCUCAAUUAUAGAUUAUUUUGUAAAGGAGUCCUCAACUUUAUUACCUUUUGAUUUACAAUCCCUUUAGCUCGGGGAUGCAAACGGAUUCGGGUUGGUGGGGCUCCCGCCCCGAUCCGCUCCUAAUGCGGCAGUAAACGGAAAUAAAUAAAAGGAUUCGGGGCAGAGAAUGGGGUAGUUUUUAUGAUCCGAGAUGGAUUCGGAAUAGAAAACAAAAUUUUUUUUUGACCUGCUCCGAAUCCGUCUAGAAAAUUAUUUAUAUUUUAAGAAAAUAUCUCUAAAAAAUAAUAUAUUUAUAAAAAAGUUCAAAAUACAAAUAAGUUGAUGCUUUCAUUUUUCAUAUAUAUAUUUGAAAUUUUUAAAGUUUGCUUCGAAUUGUGAUUGAUAUUUUUUAUUUUUAUAAUUGAUAUUAUUAAUUUUAUAUAUAACUUAGUAAUAUUAUUCAUUAUUAUUAGAAAAAUAUUAACUUAUAAUUUACAAAAUAUUAAUAAUAUUAUAAUAUAUUAAUUGGUGAGGUGGAUUCGGGUGCCGGCGGGCGGGACGAAUUAUGAAAUAUAUUUUUUAACCCGUCAUGGAUUCGGGACGGGAGGUAGGGCGGGAUUUUGGUAGUCGGGGCGGGAAGUAGAGCGGGACUUCCGCCCCAUAUCUGUUUUGUUUCCAUCCCUAGUUUAGCUUUUAUUUUUUUUAUUUGAGUAAUUCCAGUUAUUUAAGUUAAAAAUUUUAUUAAAUUUAGCGGUUCAAUUAGGCAAUACCAGAUAAUUGUUCCGGAUUCGUUUACUACCAAAUAAUUAAAAAUAUCAAAUUUGAUAAAAUCAUCAAAACUUUGAUAAAGUUUUUGGUUAAAACUAAUUAAUUUUGGGGGAAAAAAUGCAAUUCAACAAUAGGUAACAAAUUACCGACUAUCCCUAGAGCAAGUGACAAAGAGCUUGGUGGUUGGUAUCCGAGUUUUCAAAUUCGAAUCCUAAUUUAUUAACAUUUCCAGCUAGGUUUAUUUCUAAAUGAAAUAAACGAAGCGGGUAGCGUGCUACCUAUUUCUUAAAAAAAAAAAAAAAAACAAUAGGUAACAAAUUAUCAUGACUAUCUAAUGGUAUAUGGUAAAUAUCAAUUUAGAUUAUUAGUGUGUGCAUAUAUAUAGUAUUUAAAAAAAUAUUUGAAAAAAUUAUAUAUAGAUGCAUAUAAUAGGUUUUAUAUACAUGUACACAAGAAUUUAAGUGUCUAUCAGUACAGGUCGUAUCUACCGUGCUGUGUCGUGCCAAUCAGUUAUCGGCACAAUACAAGUCCCGUACCGAUGGCACAGCUUAAAACCCUUAAUUCUUUAAAUUAAUAAAUAAUUUGCUGAAUAAAGUUCAAAAGAUUUGAUAAAAAUAUAUAAUAAACAAUUAGAAUAUUACGUUGCUAAAAAAAAUAAAUAUUUCAUACUAUUAUGUGUCGGCACACAUGAUUUUUUUUUAUGACCGACACGUAUUGGUAUGGCCCGGCAUAUACUGUGCCGUAUCAUGCCAGCAAAUUUUCGACACGACCCCGUAUCAUGGCACUUAAAUCCUUACAUGUAUAAGUAAAAAUUAUAACCUCGUCGGAUUUUGAAUUUUUAUUCAUGAUAAUCGAAACCAUAGCCGUUUAAGACACCCCUAGAACUAAGCGGGUGUCAAUUAAAAAAAAUAAUAAUAAAGUUGAGGAGUGUUUUUCAAAGUUACUGCAGUUGAGAGGGCCUCCAUGCAUUUUUACCAUAUAGCUUUGUCCUUCUUAUUAUUAUUCUAGUAUAUAUUAUGAGAAUAUUCUCCCAAAAAUUGCGUUUAUUCUGAAGCUACAGUUUCUAAUAACGCACCUAUGCUUUAUAUGGAAAUUUAUACUAAAAAUAAUUUCUAGUUUUUCAAUAUUUAUAUGCAAUUUUUUUUAGUUUUUAGUUUUUAUUUCGUAAAAGUUUAAUACUCAACUUUUUUUUUCUGGGAAAUUUAAGAAUACACUAUUAACACUUUGGUCCUUCAUGGAAACACCCAAAUUACAAACAGUUGGUUUGUAUCUAUUUCCACUUAAUAAAUUUAAUCCAAUAUAUACACUUGAUAUGUGAUAAAUUCAAACCAAAAAAAAAAUGUGAAAAUUAAAAAUAUUGUGCAUAUAUAUAUAUAUAUACUAGAAAACAAUAAUUAAUUGCUUGUGAUAUGUACAAAACAUGUCCAGCUAUUCAAAGCAUGGGCUAAUGCAAAUGGUGCUGUACGUGUCCUGUUAUGCAAAUAAUAUUUUUAUGCCAUUGUACCUGGAAUGAAUGUGAUGCUCCAUUUCUCAAAGGUUAGCUAUUUUAGAAUUAUUCCAGUCUUAGCACGCUUAAUCUAAAAUACUAUAACUGGAUUAAGAGAUUUAAUUUUAUUAUACGUCAUUACUAGGUAUAAGUACAUGUACAAAUAUCGAACGAUGUGAGACUUAUUUCGCUAGCUUUAGCUGACUUACGGUCGUCGAUCGGAGAGCUGCGCCCUGUCAUCUAUAUGACCCUAAUUGACUUUAUGGGAAGCCACGCUUCACCCAUACCAAUCGUUAGAUGGAAAAACACGUUCUAUCCGCUGGAUAUAUGAACUUAAUUUAGCGGAGACUUAUAUUAUACUUCUAGCUAAUAAUAGACUUUAAUAUUUGACGUGACGCCGCGCUUUCCAAAAAGAGGCCACUCAUCCUAGAACUAUUUUAACAUUAACACACUAAAUCCUGUUAAUCUCUUGGGCCUAAUCACUGUCCAAAAUAUUAUAUCGCCCGCUGCUUGUAAAAAUAGUCUUAUAUAUAAGAUAUAAUAAGGCUAAACCUCUUGAUCUGGCUAUAGCCGGUCGUUAAUCUCAAGAGGUUAAGAGAGUUAACAGUGUUAGAGCUAAAGUAGUUGUAAGAGAGGUGACCACCUGGGAAGCAGGGCAUCACAGACGGAAUAAGAGAUUUAAUUCUAUUAUAUUAUAUAUAUAUAUAUAUAUAUAUAUAUAUAUAUAGUUAUAUAUAUAUAUAUAUAUUAUAAUAUAUAUAUAUAUAUAUUUAUAUUAUAUAUAUAUUGUAAUUAGUUGGGAGUGUCACAAUGAAAUUGUUCUUAAUACAACCUUAUAAUUCUUCACCCUUUGAUAACACUUUUUUUUUUUUUACCUUUACUUUCUAUUCUUUAUCUACUUUUUAUGAAUGUUAGUGCCUUCGUUUUUCGAGCUUAACUUAUAGCUAGGAUAUCACAGAACUUUUUUUUUUAAAAAAAAAUAGUCUAAGUUGAAAUUUAUAUUUAUAAAAAUUGAUUUGUCAAAAUUUUAUUUGUAAAAAUAGGUUUAUAAACAACUAAGUGUAUAUGAGCUGAAAAAAAAUAUAAUAAUUGUUUAUUUUAUUCUGAAUGUGGCAAAUUUUUUUUGUAUUUCAAUAGCUGGCGAACCGUUGUUGAAUUUUAAAUGUGGUAAAUAAUUUAUUCCCUUUUUUUAUACUCCACUCGCUAUAUAUCUUGCUCUUUGAUCUAUGCUCCACAAAAAAAAAAACUUUCCAAAUAUCAAUUAAUGUUAGAUCCGAAGCCAGAGAUACAAGCCCAAAAUUUAAAAACACGUGGGGUUCGAACCUUUUGACCUAAAGAUCAACAUUCUGGUACCUUAUUAGUAGACUCAGCGAUUUCGUAAGAUGUAUACUUUGGAAAAGUAAGAUGAUUUACUAUUGCAUCGAUUUAUAAAGAAAAGAAGAACAUAUAAUGAAAGAUCCAUAAUUAAUGUAAUAGAAAUCUAGGGUUUAAAAUCAAAAUUGAAUCCGAAAAGUUGCUCAAAUUAGGUUUUAAUUUGGACCUGGAUUGUUAUUUAGGCCCAAUCAAAGCCCGGUCCAAUAACGCCCUGUCGGGCCGACCCAUGUACAUGUUUUGUCCUAUGAGUGGUUCCAAACUUACCUAGGGCAUUCCUCUGAUUUUUUAUCUCAUAAAAAUGUUUUCACAUAAAAUCAUCACAACAUGAAUUCCUAUAUUUAAUUGUUCAAGUCACUAGAUUUGAUGUAAUUAAUGAUACGUUUAUUUGAAUUCUCCAAUUUAAUUAACUAAAUUCACUUGAUUGAAAAAAAUAAAAUUAAAUGGGAGAUUUUUUUUUUAAUUUUAUUUAUUUAUUUUUUUUGAGUAAGCUGUUUCAAAAUGCCCUAUAGUUGAUGGGAUGGGAUCUCCAUACAAUUUUAGCUAAAAACAUUUCUUAUUGAAGUAAGAAGGAAACCUAAGGGAUAGGUAUUGUGUUUAGGGAUGUUAAUGAGUACAGAUAUCCGAAAUUUUAUUCCAAUUCAAAUUCGAACGGGACAAUUUAUCCAAUGCUAAAUAUAUGGAUAUGAUUUUGAAUAUAAAUAAAAAAUAAAAAAAUAGAUGGAUUCGGAUUUGAGUAUGAAUUUUGUCUGUACCCGAUCCAAAUCAGAACCCAACCCAUAAUAGAAUAGUUUUUAUGUUAUAUAGUAUAUAUGAAUAUUUAAUGUUAUAUUUAAAUUUGUAUUUAAACAUUUAGAUUUUAUUAUAAUAUGUUUUGAAAUAUGAAAAAAAGAGAAAAUUUUUCGGGUUUAGAUUUUCAGAUUUGAGUUUGCGUUUCGCGUUUUUAGUUAGGAUUGGUUUUGGAUAUAAAUUUUUAAAAAUUUGUUGAAUUCGGAUUUUCAACACUACAACAGAAUUAGGUUAUAGGGACACAUGUUUGGGACACUUUUGUGUAAGUGUCCAAUUUAUGCCAAAACUUUAAAAAAUAUCUACUAAUACCUAAAUAUAAAAUCCAAUUCAACCAAAAAUAAAAUGUUACCCUACUUAACCCACCCCACCCAGCCCAUUCGGCCCGAUUACAAACAAAAAAGAAAAAAAAAAAUCUAUUACCAUCCCCCCUUCUCUCCUCGCUCAAUCCACUGAAAUUCUAGACGAGAAGCCCUUCCCUCUCGUACUCCUCCGCCACCGCAGCCAACGAGGUAGAGUUUCGGCGGUUACUAAAUGCUUAAAUAAGUAUUGGUAAAUUAGCAGCACUUUUUUUAGAUUAUAGCGACACUUUUUAACUGUCACUAUAUACCUAGCGAUCCCACAUAUAGCAACACUUUUUAGCCUUAGUUUGGUAUUGAUGUCUAUCUAACGCUAUUAGAUAAAAUGGAGUUAAGGAAAAAACAUAUAGGGAUAUGUUCCUGCAUUCUCCGGUGGGACCGCAGAAAAUAUAUCGUAACCGACUCAUCGCGAUAUGCGGAACGCAAUAUUACGUACGGAAACAAACAUGGUAUUUUUCCAACGCACUUUCUCACCGCACGUAACGCAAUUCUCCCGCACUCCGAAACAAAGCCUUAAAAGUGUUGGUAAUUUAGCCAGCAGCACUUUUUUUGACCUGUACCGAUAUUUAAAAGUGUUACUAUAAAUUAUUUUUGUUGUAGUGCAAAAUCUGUCUCGAAUCUGACCUUUUGACGGUCCUAAGCAUGUUUCAUAAUUGCAGGCAAUAAUUAGGUUUGCUUUUUAAAAAAAAAAAUUGAAAAAAGUUGCUCAAUUAUGAGUCUUGGGCUUAACGCUGUGUAGAAGCACCACUUUUCAGUUAGACUUCAGAAAAUAUAUUUCAAAAUUUAGUCCUCAAUAUUUAUAAUGUGUUUGUUUAUAUAGUUUUAUUUAAGUUAAUAUAAGCAUCUAUAUCCCACAUGUGCACUUAAUUUCCCCCAGUUUUCUAUGUUCUUCUAAAAUUGAAAUUAAAAUGUAAAAUAACAUCUUGGAUAAUGGUAGGGAGUGCUUGGUUGCGCGUAAAAUUAUUAAAGAUAUAUAUAUAUAUAUAUAUAUAUAUAUAUACAUUUGUUAAAGUUUUGUUGCACGUAAAUUGGAAAAAGUUUCUGAUGUAUGUAUACCUAUAAAUUGUUUGGUUUGAAAAAAAAAGAAAAUAGAUAGAGCAAGAGGUUCAGUUAUUUAGUUUGUGUCAUCGGAAAAAAAAAAACAUAAAUUGAAAAUAACAGUUUUCCUUAAAUACGUAAAACUAUUUUCGAUUUAAAAGUAUUUUAUAUGAAAUCAAACACCAAAUUUGAUAUAUCAACCUGAAAUUAUUUGCAGGGUCAUUUAAUGAGCAACCAAAGAGUACUCCUAGAGCCCAAUAUUCAUUUUUUGAGGGGUAUGCUAUCAAGUACGUAUUAUUUGAGGCAAAAGUUUAUUAAAAAAAAUCUUUUUUUUUUCCCUAUACUGUGGUACUUGCAUUGGAAUAGCAUAGAGGAAUCAAUUGAAUAAGAUCUAUGUUCCUCAAAGAAGUUUAUAUUCAUUUAUAAAGGGGCCAGCAUCCUGCCCUACAGCGUCAGGCAAGAUUGGGGUGAGUCACGUUCGAAAUAGCGUGAGACUAAAUUGGUUCGAGUUAUGUUCGAAAUUGCGUGAGGCUGGUUAAGCCGAGUCACAAUUGAGACCCAUAAGUGCUAUGUCUCUAUGCUCUAAAUGAAUUGAUUGCGUAUUUCUAACGGCUCGAGCUUUUAGAAUUAAUAAUUUGUGCUAAGGAUUCGACAGUUUAUCUUGUGAAGCACAAGGACUCAAACUAAAAAAUGACCACUGUAUAACAAUUGAAUAUAGAAUCAAUCAUUCAAUUUUUUUCUUUGUUACUAGUAUAUAUAUCUUUUUUUUUACUCUUCUUUUCUAAUAUUUGUUUGGACCAAAUUGUGUUCUUCAUUUACUUUUCAUGAUUUUUGGACAUGAAUAAUUUAAACAAUAAAAACUUACAAAAAAUUGCUAGCGAGCAAAAAACAAACAAUAUCUCUCUUGUGCUUAAAUAUUUCCAAUCCUCAUACCACAAAUGCUUAACACACAUCAAUUUUAAGUGCUAUCCACACCACUAGCUAGCAACAACAAUAUUCUAGUUACAAAUAAAAGAAGCACUAAUAAAAAAUAAAAGAAAAAAAAAAAAAAGGGAAACAUACCCACUGUGGCUGGUGAAAAGAAUCUAACCAAAAAAGCAAUAAAAAUGAACAAGAAAAAGGACUUGUUGUAGGUGAGACAAUGCAUGAUAGAGUUCUCCAUCACUGUAUACCUCCACUCCUCAUAGGCUCAAAAGGGAAACAGUAAAUAUAUAGGGAAAGAGUAUUUAAAUAUAUAGAAGCUUAAUUAAUUUGUGACCAAUAUUAGCAAUUCUCUGUACCCAGCCAAUCUGGUCUCCCUAGUGUGAACUCCAAACUAGGGAUUUUGAGUUCUUGAUGAGGUCUACUUGAGCCACUUGAGUGGCAAAGAUGAUCACCAUCCUGCACCAAAGUCAAAAUAUAUAUGUAUCUGUAUGUCUAUAUAUUGAACUCUUAGUCUCUUAGACAUAACUUAAAUGAUGGUUCAAACUUACUAGGUGAUUCUCUCUCUCUCUCUCUCUCUCUCUCGUACACACACAUAGUGAUCUACGAUUAAUUACUAUGCUUUUAAGAAGAAGCAGGCCUUUGCACAUACACUUUAUUUUUAGUGAUAGAGCAUACUAAUCAAUACAUGAUAGUAGAUAACCUAAAUAGGUACCAUAAUCUCCACCCUCAUAAAAGCAUAGUACGUAGCUCUCUCUCUCUCUCUCUCUCUCUCUCUCUCUCUCUCUCUCUCUUACUCCCUCAUGCACACACACAGAGAGUUUGCUAUGCUUUUAUGAAGUAGGCCUACGUAUGUACACUUUAUUUUUUGGAGAAGUGCUUAGUCUACAGGUAAAAAACGGUUAUAAUCUCUAUAUAUAACCCCUCACCUAAGGGAGAAGUGCUUAGUCUACAAGUGAAAAAAAGGUUAUAAUCUCUAUAACCCCUCACGUAAGGGUGGCUAGGCUUCACUAAUUAGGUUUUUUUUGUUUUUAGUAAAUGAUAAAAAAAAUUGAUAAGGCCAGUGGAGAAAAAGUAACCAUUGGAUGAGAAUAUUAUAGAAUACAAUCAAUUUUGGGUUGUGGUACUAAUCAAUACAUGAUAGAAGACAACUAAAUAGGUACGAUAAUCUCCCACCUAAUAAAAGCAUUGUAUAACUCUCACUCUCUCUCUCUCUCUCUCUAUUUGGAUUUGGAAUUAUUAAUAGUAUCCUAGCUCAACUCUAUCUGCGAACAUGUCUGCGUGCGCGCGUGUGAGUUUUUGUUUCCCUAUCAAAUCUCUCUCGGUGCAUGCGUGCGUAUCUGUUAGAACGUUUAUGUAAGGGUUCGAAGCCAGUAGAAUAUAUGGUACCUGGAAUUGUGAUGAAGCUGUCAUUGAUGCGUGAUCUUCUAGUUCGCAUGAAUUCAUCUGAAGCCAACCGCCCUUGCUGAAAGUAUAUAUACAAGAGGAGAACUUCUUAGUCAUGAAAAUCAUUCCCAAUGUUUUUACAACAUAUAUAAGUCACAGUAAAUUUGCUAACACAACUAGUUUUCUUUUGAUGGAACUUAGCUCAUUAGUAUUUAUGUUAAGUCAUGCUGAAAACAUGAAUGCAUUAUAUAUAUAUAUAUUUUUUUCGAGCAGAGACAUUAUGCAUACAUAUAAAUACAGUAUAAAAUUGUUUUAUAUAAAUAUAAACAAUUUUCUAUCAAAGUUUCAUAUGAUUCGAAUAUUUUUAACUAACUUUUCUUGACAAUACACGUUCUCAUAGAUAUCUGAGUGUUAUCUUGUAAAUGCCAUGCAUUUUGAGACUAACAAUCACGCUUGGUGACUACGGUUCGUUUCAUUUACGAAUCUAUUUCCUGAUUAAAUCUUGAUUAUUAGUCUCAAAUGGCAUUCAUAAGAUAACACUCAAGUAUCUAUGAGAAUAUGCAUGUAUUGUUGAGAAAAGUUAUGUACGGCACAACCACUCCAUGGAUGUUAUUUUUGUAACAGGAUUCGUGAUCGAUCGACUAAUUUAAUGCUCGAAAGAAAUUGUCAAAUGGAACAAUUUGUAUAAAUUGUAUCUUAAGUUUGGUUUUACUUGUUUGCUUUUAUAUUAAUUUUUUCAAACUUCUCCACAGAGUUAAGCAUUUAAAUUACAUAUAUGUGUUUUUCCUUGUGUGGAUAUAUAGGCUAGUCAUGGGUUACUAUUAUUAAAGUUAAUUACUUAUUGUUCAAAAUCUCUCUCCCUUCAAAAAAAUUUUGUAGAGUCUACAUAGAGAUGAAAAAAAAACAAUACAAAUCAUAGGAAAAAUCUCUACUAUAUCAAUAUAUAAUUAAAUUGCGCAAUAUUGGAAAAUAUUCCUCUUUAAAUUAAGACCUUAAUGGGUCCUAUGAUUUAUUAGGAAGUAGAUGACAUAUUAUUAACAAAUUAGGUUUUGCCUAGCAGUUGGUACCCUCCCUCUCUUGGGAGAGGACAAAUUAACAGAUUUUCAGUAUUUCCAAAAAAUAAAAAAAAGGAACAAUUUUGUAGGAAAAAAGCAAACUAAAAGAGCAAGGAAAUUAUAUACAAUAUAGUUUGUUUUUCUAUUUAAUUACCUUCAAAAACACUAGGAAAUAUACAAAACAUAGAUGAUUUAUUAAAGAAAGGUAACUACUUAAUGGCAAAAUGAAAUGAGGAUAACCUUCAUAUCCCACAUUUAUUAUCCUACUUGUAGAGCUAGCUGUAGCUUAAAAGAAAACAAGAAUAAAAUAAGAGCAUAGAAACAAAGAUAGAGGAGACAUGUAACAUAUAAAUAACUCUAGGGUACAUUAAUUGGGUCAAAACAAGCUCAUGUUCUCAGAGCCCAUGCAGUGGAAAAAGAAGUGAUUUAACUGGACUAAUAAGAACAAAGAAAGAAAGGACAAAAAGGAACCCUAGAACCAAAUGCUAGACCACAAUAUAUAUAAUAAGGCACCAACAUCAAAGAGAGAGGAGCACUCAACUCAAGGUGUGUGUAGCUUAGUCUUUCUGGUUACAACCACUAAAUAUAUAACAUAUCGCUUAGGAGAAGACAACGUACGUAUUAAUCUAAGAUGAUGAACUACAAAGGAUAUGGCAUUCACAAAGCAAGGUGUUGUUUCAUAUCUAUAUAUACUGUGUUUUUGAUUUAACAAGUGGAGAUCUUUCUUUUCCCCUCUCCCUUAGCUUUUGCUUUAAAUCUCCCUGUGAGAUCUCAAGUAACACAAAAGCAAGAGAGAAAAGCAAAAGCUGCCAUGCAUAUAUCUAUACCCUUUUGCACCAAGAUAUGGAAAACAUAGCUAUGAUGCUCCAUCUCCUAACCUUAAUUGGGUAAACUAAUGCAUAUAUAUAUAUAUAUAUAUAUAUAUGUAUAUGUAGAGGUGGCUUACAUUGAUGGGUUAUUCCACAUGGUAAUGGAGUCCUUAUCGUGUUGGUGGAGCGGCGCAUUUGAAUCUCCUUGUGAUGACAUUGAUCGUCGCAACCCAAAAUCGGUGAGCAUAGGAGUGAAAUCUUCUUCACCUGAGCAUUCUGAUUGGUCUUAAGAAAAUUUUAAAGAAAAAGUUUAGGAAAUAAGUGUUAAAAGCGUUUUUGCAGAAAAAAAAUUAACUGGAUAAGAAUCUUAAGCAUGGUUUUAGCUAAGUUAAUGAAGGGUAAAGGUAUAUUAAUGAGUAGGCACCUCCAAAAGACCAAGGAAUAUGAAUUACCUGGGGAAGUUGCAGGUUUCUCAGUGGACUUAACAGUUCUAUACAUCUGUAGACACAAAAGAGAGAGAGGGAGAGAGAGAGAGAGAGAGUGAAAAAAAAAGACCAAUAGAGAGAGAAAUAGAGAGAGAAAAGAAGAGAAAGAGGAGUGAAGUGAUGUUACUACAAUAAAGGAGAAUAGGGGUGAGAAGGAAAGUAAAAGAGGUGAACUCAAGGUUCACUCCAAACUAAUGCUCUUUUCUUUCUUCUUUUCAGGUUGUUUCCUUUCCAUUUUAAAUACCUCCAUUACUCACGAGGUUGAUGCUUUGGGAGUUGUUUGUUUACAGCUUUACAUUAUUGUGAAAUGAUGGCUCCUUUCUCUCUCUCUCUCUCUCUCUCUCUCUCUCUCUCCCCUCUUCUAUUAAUCGCACUCUCCUGUCUGAAAGAAGACCCCAUUUACCCUAUUCAUCCAUGUAGAUCAUUCACUCCCCCAAUUCAUUCAUGUAGCCAUUCACUGUUCGUACUGGUUACUACGCACAAAUAGAGAGAGAGAGAGAGAGAGAGAGAGAGACCUAGUUGAGUGGUUGGAGAAUGGACAUACCUGCAAGUGGCUCUUUACAUGGGCAAGAGUGAGAUCUUUGACAUCCAUAAGCUCAAGAACUGAUUUUGGUGUAGCUCCUUGUUUGUUCACAAGUUCAGGAAAAAAAAAAAGAAUAAACCCCACAAAAUCAACAACAAACACCAAAUUAACUUACAUACAACUGAACUAUAAAUUUACCUAAAAACCCCUCAUUAUUUGGUUAAAAGAAAGCAAAGAGAUAAAUCAAGAAAUAAAAGAUAGGGAAAAGGAACAUAUAUUUGUUUGCUUACUCUCAUGGCCACCUAGGAGGUCGACGGCAUGCACGAACCGUGCAUGGAGAGCGCUCGUCCACCGCAUUCUCGGCGCCCGCAUGUUCCUCUUUGUAGGGAACUUCGGCACGAAUAUCCUAGAUCUUAUCAUGCUUUGGGAGCUCUCAAAUGCCCCAACUCCAUACUGAUUGAUAUUGUAGUAUUGGUAGUGAUCACUUCUCAUCGGGUCGAAAGCAUAUCCACCAAAGCUUGUUGGCGGUGCAAUUAUUCGAUGAUACGGUGAUCCGAAGGCCGGUAAACCUCCGUAGGCGCUAGAAGAAGAGCUAAAAGAGGAGUGUGGAUUAGAUGGGUGCAAAGAGAUUUGUGGGUCGUGCCCCCUUUCUGGAGAGGAUGAGGGUGGGGUGUUGUAUGAGGGGAGGCCUCUUAUCGGUGUAGCGAUAUCGAACAAGGAUGUCAUGUGGUUUGUCGACGACAGGGAGAGGUCAGUGCGAGCGUGAGAGACAUCGGCGUGGGUGGGCUCUACGGGGCGAAGGAGGAGGUCGAGGCCGAGAUCACGGUCGAGGUUGGGUGCGGUGGAGGGACAGUUGUUGCUCGGGGGGCUGAUGUUUAGUGAGAGGUCCGGAGAGGGCAUUGAGUUGGUUCCCAUGAAGAGUUCUUAAGACAACAUCAAAUGAUCCUAUAUAUAUAUAUGCUUGGUUAGGGUUUGAUGGUGUUGUGUUUGGGUGACAAGCUAGAAGAAACUCAGUUCACUACAUUAGAGUUAGGGACAAAGUAGAGAGAGGGAUGACUUAUUUUAAUGGCUAUUAAUUUAUGGGAAGAUAUCUUCUUUGAGAGGAGGAGAGUAAAAGGGGGAUGAUGAAGGAUUGGAUGGUAAUGCAACUGUUUGUGUUUUCUUUCUCUUCUCCUUCUACUGGAUAUGUUUGUGUAGAGAGAGAGAGAGAGAGAGAGAGAGAGAGAGAGAGAGAGAGAGAGAGAGAUGGGUGGGUGAUCAAGGUAUAGUGUGAAUGACUAAAGUUGAUGGGGAACAAAAAGAAGGGAAAAGGAAGAGCAUUUAGUAGGAAAAUGGGGUCUCGUCUCCUGUGAGCAAAUUUGGGAAAAUGACUUUGAGAGAGAGAGAGAGAGAGAGAGAGAGAGAGAGAGAGGAGAUUAGUCAAAGUACAAAGGGGAUUUCACUCUUAUAUGGACUAACCUUAAUUACAAGUAACAAGUUUCACAGUUUUUCUUUUCCUGGUUACUUUUUUUUCCUUUUCUCUUUUUGGGGCAUCAAGUAAUAGUGGAGGAAGUUACGGCCACGUUAUUAGAAAAUGACAUGCACAAUAAGUUGGUUAACAAAGGCAAUCAUAAAAAUCUUUAGAUUAUGAGAAAUGCUGGGAGUAUACAAUCAAGGAGUGUAACUCUACAAUUACUCAUCCAAGAAUGUCGAGGGUUAAUGAUCAUAUCUAGCGCAGUUGGCUACGAAUUUAAUAGUUGAUAUGUAAGAUCCAAAGUUCAAUCUAGUUAUUUUACAAUUCUAAUUGAAUUUAUUUCUAAAAAAUGGCAAUAAAGAUAGUUUGCUAUCUACUUUACUCUUAAAAAAAAAAAAAGGGGGGAAAAAUGAGCAUGGAGAGUUUACUAAACCUUUUUUGAUUUUUCGUGAAAAAAAAAAUUGAUAAAAUUAAUGAAAAAAGUAUUGUAAAAUUACAACCCAAAGUGGGAUGCAGACCACCUUACCACUCCUCCCUUGGAGUAAGGGGGUUGUAAUCCUACGGUCUUUUUGGAUUGUAGACUUAGCAUUUCUCUAAACGAUAUAUCAAGAUGGAUAUAUGAAACAUGAAUUUUAAAUGGUGAACAGGCCAAAACCAAAUUACACUACAAUAAAAACGGUCUAUAGGGACACUUUUAAAUGUCGGUAUAGGUCAAAAAAAGUGCCGCUGGCUAAAUUACCGACACUUUUAAAAAGUAUUGCUAUAUGUGGGGUCGCUAGGUAUAUAGUGACAGUUAAAGAGUGUCGCUAUAACCUAAAAAGAAUGCUGCUAAUUUACCAAUAUUUAUUUAAACAUUUAGCAAACGCCGGAACUCUACCUCGUUCUCUAUGGUGGCGGAGGAGGAUGAGAGGGAAGGGCUCAUCGUCUAGGAUUUCAGUGGAUUGAGUAAGAGGAGAAUGGGAGAUGGUAAUCGAUUUUUCUUUUUCUUUUUUUUUUUUCUUUUCUGUUUGUAAUCGGGCCGAAUAGACUAGGUGGGGUGUGUUGAAUAGAGUAACAUUUUAUUUUUGGUUAGGUUGGGCUUUAUAUUUAGAUAUUAGUAGAUUUUUUUAAAAGUUUUGAUAUAAAUGGAACAUUUACACAAAAGUAUCUCAAACAUGUGUCCUUAUAAUUUAAUUCUGUUGUAGUGAAAUGUACACGCCUCCAUAGAUAAAUAUAGAAAUGAUUAGUAUUAGUACAAAGCAUUUUUGGAGUGGAUGGACAUGAAUUCUUAGACCUUAGCAUACUCUAAAAAGACCUUGAUAUUAACUGAUCAUGAAUAGAAAUUAUUACUAAAAAAAUGGAUGUAUUGAAACGAAUAAAAACCUACUGUACUGGUCAAAUCUGUUCUUAUUUUCCUAAUUAAUAUUACUAACUACAUUCUAAUGUUUUUUCUCUCAAACUUUGCUAUAUGUUGCUACCGAGUUCGAUAUCAAAUAAACGAUAUAUAUGCAUCAAAGUAUGAAGAUCGGCUAAAUUGCAUAGGGUUUAUGACAGAAAAAAUUUAUUUAUGUGAGGAGGAUUUGUAGUUGUUGAAGUGACUAAAGUUUCUUCCAACAAAUAAAUUAUAAGCUUCAGAGGCCCUUAAAUUAGAUUGCUAUGCCAUUUUCUGUAGUUCCAUACAUAUUAUUAAUUGAUGCUUUGCAAGAAAAGUCAAGAUGAAUUAUUUCACAAUUGUUUAAGAAACUCCUUAUUGUAGUACACAUGAAUAGAGCAAUUCAAAAUCAAAUAAAUAAAUAAACUAGAUUCCGAUUGUCGCUUAUACAAUUAUAUAGAAGCUUAGUAUUACACAUAAUCCCCUGAGGGAUCUUCACAUGAUCAUAGUAAAGCACCCACUAGAGGGGGAAACAUGCAUGAUUGUCAUUAACAAUUUUCAAGUGAUUUUAAUAGCUUAAACAAACCAUCUAGUUAGCAUUAGACAUUGGAGAUUGUGUCUUUGCAAAUUGUAAAACUUCCAAUUAACCCUAGUGAUUUAAUAUGAAAGACAUGCAUUUUAAUAAACUUGUAGGGUUUGUCUAAUAGUGCCUAGGGUUUUAAUUUCAAGCUGGUUGACUUAACAUUGGGUGGUGAAUAUUAUAAACUCUUAAGUAGUAGACCUUCCAAAAGUUCUAAUUCCCUCUCAUACUCCCAAAUAUUCCCUCCUAAUGUUGCAUGCCUUGUCUAGUUUCUUUAUUGCAUGCCACAUGAUCCAUCUCAUAAGGUUGACCCGUUUAGAUCUCCAAACCCUAGGUUCCAUCAAGGCUUAAUUAUUUAAUACCAUGAUGAUUAUGGAGAUCUUAUGGGGAGUUGCAGAAGCUUUUGAGCUAAUAAACAUGUUUUUCGAAAGAUGAUCACCAUUGUAUGCACUCUAACACACCACCUUUUUCCAACAUUUUACGUACAACUUUGCAAAUAUAUAUAUAUAUAUAUAUAUAUAUAUAUAUAUAGCAGGGCUGCUGUGCUCUCAGGAGCACGGAGGCCUCCUGUGCUCCUGAGCGUUUUCGAUGAUGAAUUUUCGAAUCGACGAUCAGCUCCGUUAGACUUGAUCUAGCCGAUUUGAAAUUUCUAGAAAUAAUUUUGUGAUUUUUCGAUAUCAUUUACCUAGUGAUUGAACGGAUUCAAAAUCCAUAAUUUUUAAUGGUUGAUAUCUGUCGUUUUCAAGUUUAACGGUGUAGAAGUAUUCAAAUCAGAUGAAAUUUUGAUACAAAUUCUUUAUACUAUCUACAACAAGAUCAAUAUAUUCUGAUCGAAAAUUUUAGUGCUAUAUACACACUUUUUAUAAGAUUUUAUUUUCAGCGUUAAAAAUUAUUAUUUUGAAUCUUUCGAUUGCUAGGUAAAUGAUAUCGAAAAAUCGUAAAAAUUAUUUUCUAUAAACCUCAAAUAUACUAGAUCAAAUUUAACGGAGCCGAUCGUCAAUUCGGAAACUCCAUCAUCGAAAACGGCUCAGGGGCACGGAGGCCUCCUGCUCCUGAGAGCCACAACAGCCCUGCUUAAUAUAUAUAUAUAUAUAUAUAUAAUAUAUAUAUAUAGGCAGGGCUGUUGUGCUCUCAGGAGCACGGAGCCCUCCGUGCCCCUGAGCCGUUUCGAUGAUAGGACUUUCGAAUCGACGAUCGGCUCCCCUAGACUUCAUCUAGUGUAUUUGAAGUUUCUAGAAAUAAUUUUUGUGAUUUUUCAAUAUCAUUUACCUAGCAAUCGAAAGUUUCAAAAUCAAUAAUUUUAACGGCUGAAAAUAAAAAUCCUAUAAAAAGUGGUGAUAUAGCACUAAAAUUUCGAUCAGAAAUAUUGAUCUUGUUGUAGAUAGUAUAAAGAAUUUUGUAUCAAAAUUUCAUCUGAUUUGAAUACUUCUACACUGUUAACUUGAAAACGACAGAUAUCAACCAUUAAAAAUUAUUGAUUUUGAAUCCUUUCGAUCACUAGGUAAAUGAUAUCGAAAAAUCGUAAAAAUAUUUUCUAGAAACUUCAAAUACGCUAGAUCAAGUCUAAUGGAGCCGAUCGUCGAUUCGAAAAUUCUAUCAUCGAAAACGGCUCAGGAGCACGGAGGCCUCUGUGCUCUUGAGCGCACAGCAGCCCUGCUCAUAUAUAUAUAUAUAUAUAUAUAAUAUAUAUAAUAUAUAGAGAGAGAGAGAGAGAGAGAGAGAGAGAGAGAGAGAGAGAGAGAGAGAGCGUCUGGUAUGUUCUGGAAGCACGAAGCACUCCGUGCUUCCAAGUUGUUUUCGAUGUUCAGACUUUCGAAUCGACGAUCGGCUCCAUUAGACUUGAUCUAGAGUAUUUGAAAUAUCUAGAAAAUAAAUUUUGCGAUUUUUCGAUAUUAUUUGCCUAGUGAUCGAAGUGGCUCAAAAUCAACGGCUGAAUAAAAAUUUUACAAAAUAUGAGAUAUGGCAUUAAAAUUUUAGAUCAAGUUAUUGAUCUUAUUUUAUAUGGUAUAAAGAUUUUCUAUCAAAAUUUUAUAUGAUUUGGAUAUUUUUACACCGUUAAACUUGCAAACGGCUCACACGGCCUUUAAAAUUAUUGAUUUUGAACCCCCUUUCGAUCACUAGGCUAAUGAUAUCGAAAAAUCACAAAAUUUAUUUUCUAGAUACUUCAAAUACUCUAGAUCAAGUCUAACGGAGCGAUCGUCGAUUCGAAAGUCCCGAACAUGGAAGCAAUGAAGGGCUCGUGCUUCUAGAAACAUACCAGCCCCCUCUCUCUCUCUCUCUCUCUCUCUCUCUCUCUCUCUAUAUAUAUAUAUAUAUAUAUAUUAUAUAUAUAAUAAUAUAUAUAUUAUAUAUAUAUUAUAUAGUGCGGCUAGGAUGCUUAUGGAAGCACGGAGGGCUCCGUCCUUCCACUUUGUUAUUCGUGUUCGGACUUUCGAAUCGACGAUCGGCUCCGUUAGAGUUGAUCUAGAGUAUUUGAAGUAUCUAGAAAAUAAAUUUUGGAUAUCAUUUGCCUAGUGAUCGAAGUGGCUCAAAAUCAACGGCUGAAAAUAAAAAUCUUACAAAAUAUGAUGAUAUAACAUUAAAAUUUUAGACCAAAGUUAUUGAUCUUGUUUUAUAUGGUAUAAAGAAUUUUCUAUCAAAAUUUCAUAUGAUUUGAAUAUUUCUACACUGUUAAACUUGCAACCGGCUUACCAUGGCCCUUAAAAUUAUUGAUUUUGAGCUCCUUCAAUCACUAGGCAAAUGAUAUCGAAAAAUCGCAAAAUUUAUUUUCCAGGUACUUCAAAUACUCUAGAUCAACUCUAACGGCGCCGAUCGUCGAUUCGAAAGUCCGAACAUCGAAAACGACUUGGAAGCACGGAGGCCUCCGUGCUUCCAUAAGUAUACCAGCACAACUCUCUCUCUCUCUCUCUAUAUAUAUAUAUAGUGUGAGGCUACUAUGCUUCUGGAAGCACGGAGCCUUCCGUGAUUCCAGGUUUUUUCGAUGUUGCGACUUUCGAAUCGUCAAUCAGCUCCGUUAAACAUGAUUUAAAGUAUUUGAAGUACCUAGAAAAUAAAUUAUGCGAUUUUUUGAUAUUAUUUGCCUAGUGAACGAAGGGGCUCAAAAUCAACGGUUGAAAUUAAGAAUCUUACAAAACGUGAUAAUAUGACAUUAAAAUUUUAGAUCAAAGAUAUUGAUCUUGUUUUAUAUAGUAUAAAUUUCACGUGAUUUGAAUUAAAAUUUCAAAAUUUAUUUCAAAUAUGCUAGAUCAAGUCUAACGGAGUCGAUCGUCGAUUUGAGAACUCUAUCAUCAAAAACGGUUUAGGAGCAUGGAGGCCUCCGUGCUCCUAAUAACACACAAGGCCUACUAUAUAUAUAUAUAUAUAUAUAUAUAUAUAUAUAUAUAUAUAUAUAUAUAUAGAGAGAGAGAGAGAGAGAGAGAGAGAGAGAGAGAGAGAGAGAGCUAGGCUUCUAUGCUUUUGAAAGUACGGAGGCUUCCGUGCUUGUAAAUUAUUUUCAAUUAUGAAACAUUCGAUUUGACGAUCGGCUUAGUUAUGUAUGAUCUACGCUAUUAGAACUAUUUAGAAACCAAAUUUUAUAACUUUUAAUUACAUUUGCCUAGUGUACGAAUAGUCUCAAAAUAAAUAGCUGAAACCAAAAAUUUUAUAAAAAAUAAUGAUAAAAGGCUCAAAUUUUAAAUCGAAAAUAUUAUUCUUACUCUUGAUGUUAAGUAGAAUUUUUUAUUAAAGUUUCAUAUAAUUUGAAUUCUUCUAUACCGUUGAACUUACAAAUGUACUAUAUCGGCCGUUAAAUAAUCAUUUUUGAGACGCUUUGAUCACUUGAUAAAUGAUGUCGAAAAAUUAUGAAAUUUGGUUUCUAAAUAGUUCUAAUGGGAUAUAUCAUAUUUAAGGGAGCCGAUUGUCGAAACAGAUAUCCCAUCAGUGAAAAUAACUUAUAAGCAUGAAGGCCUCCGUGUUUUCGAAAACGCAAGAGACAUACGCUCUCCCUCUCUCUCUCUCUAUAUAUUGAGAAAAAUAGCUAGUUAUGUGUUGUAUACAUUAAAUUAAUGAACUAAGCUAUGGAAUUGAGGUAACAAAGCCUCAGAAAGGAAAUUCAUAAAAAAAAAAGAAGAGAGAGUGGAAGGGAUCGGUGAGAAGGUGGACUUUGAGAAAGCUUAUAAUAGAUUAAUUAGUCUUUCCUGGGCUUCGUUUGGUUCAGGGUUAAAUAAGAACUAGUUAUUUCAGGAAUAAGUAUAAGUUCAGGUAUAAGCCUGAAAUAAGCCAAUUUUGCAUUUAGAUGAAAAUUGAGUUAUUCUCGGAAAUGAGAAAAAUAGCAUUUGGAUAGAUAAGAUAGAAUAAGAAGAAUAGUAGAUAGUUAUAAAUAAAAAAUAAUGAUAUUGCCUCUUAUAUUUGAAUUUAAAUUUUUUAAUAUUUAUAUUUAAAAUUUUAAAUUUAAAUAUAUAACUUUAAAAAUAAUAAAAUUUAAAAUACAAUUUAAAUUUUUAAAUCUCAAAUUCAAAAAUUUAAAGUUCUAAAUUUUAAAUUUAAGAUUAAAUUUAAAUUUAAAAAAAAUUCAUUUUAAAUUUAAAAAAAUAUAAAUAAUAAUUUAAAAUUAUAAAUAUUAAUUAAGAUUAAAUUCUUAAAUUUUAAAAAUUUAAAAUUUAAAAUUAAAAUAUAAAUUUAAAUUUAAAAAUUAAAUUGGGGUCGGAUUAACUAAUCCCACCCCAAUUCCGGGUGUGGGGGUUUAUUAACCCACCCUAACGUUAUCUCUUCCCUUAAUCCCCAAACAUCAUUUUCAAAGGGUGUGGGGUUUAAUUAACCCCACCCCUAACGGGUUAUCCCCGGGAUAACCCGGGAUAACCCGUUAGGGUGGGUAAUAAACCCCACACCCUUUGAAAAGGAUGUUUGGGGAUUAAGGGGAGAGGCCGGGAGAUAAUCCCUUAUUCCCCCCUCCUAAACCCCAACCAAACGGGGCCUAAGAGAAUAAUGCUCUGCCUAAGUUUCAACAUCUAAAUAAUUUUUUUAUACAUAAAUUAUAGUAAUAAAUAAUAAAAUUAUAAAGUAAAAAAAUAUUAAUACUUAAUUAAUCAACUUUUAUCAUAUUUUAAAUGCACAAACUAUAUAAAGAAAAUAUUAAAACUUAACUAAUCAAAUUUUAUAAUAUUUUAGAUAUAUUAACUGAAUAAAAAAUAAUUAGUAACAUAAUUAAGUAUAUUUAAAUAUAACUAUCUUUAUCUAUUAUAUUAUAUUAUUAUUAUUUUUUUCACCUCUCUUCGCCGUAAUUGACUUUUCCCCCACGAUGGGGCGAAGUCAAUUACGCAGUUUGAGGUUAACUUGAGUUUCGACCGUAACUUUUUUACAGUGAACCAAGCAACGGAAGUGGCCGUUUAGGAUGAAAACGACUUCCCUCUUCUCUACUUCCACCCCACUUUCACCCAAACAAACAUGCCCUAAGUAGUGCCAAAUAUAUAGGUUUUAAAUCUAAUUUGAAAUAAAAACUUCAGACUAUUUUGCUUUUACAAAAAUUAGCUCUAAUUAUUCAUUCUAGCUUAAACUCCGAGUUUUUGUUUAUGGUAUUACUGAAUAACUUAUUUGUCGCGUCUUUCAAAAAUCAGAAGCUGUUUUGAAGUGCAAAUCAAACAAUUACGUAAAUAUUAAUUCGACUGCUUGUUCUCUAUUUCAAAUUUAGUUCGUUACGUAAUUGGCUUGUCACAACAUUUUUUUUUUCCUUUCAUAAUUCUUAUUUUUCAAAAUCAUUAUUUUUUUUUUAUUUUCUCUUUUUUUUUCUUUUGUAAUUUAAAAGGAGGUUAGGGGAAAGAUGAAACAUGAGGACUCUACUUGUUGUCUCAAGUGUCACAUCCUUUGGUAGCAUAAAUGGAGGCUGAGUCCAAAAGCAAGGAAUCUUACAACACGCAAACAUUUGCUCUUUAAUGGUCACAGGGAAAAGGGUUUGGCAUAAAAUGAUCACAUCUUAGCUUUUAAAGCCUCCCUUCACACACCUCCCCACUCUUCAUGAAAGUGGAGGACACAAAUGCUCUCUUUUUGUGGUUUUAUUGCCACAAGGCUUUGAAAAGGGAAGAGAAGGGAAAGAGAGAUAGAUAUAUAUAGCCCACAUGGUCUCAGCAGAAGACAACUACCGAACCUCUGGUUCCCUACAAUUCACCCCUACCCUAACCCUAACAACGAGGGUGCGCGUUUAAUAUUAUAUUAAAAUACUAAAAAUACUAUUCUCUUGUAACUUAAGCUUUGGGAGGAAAAGAAAAAAAGAAAGUUAUUUUGUAAACUUUAAAAUGGUACUAGAGAAGCCAACUGUGUACCCUAUCGCAGUCCGGCUUAGGGCUUUUAUUGACUGAUACUCGAGGUCUCAAGUUUAAAACCUUAUUAUUUCAUGUUUUGUUGCUAAGUUCAUUUCUAAAAAACGAACAAAACAGGUAGCUUUCUUUUUUCUCUCUUUCAUCACUAAUAAUAAUAAUAAUAAUAAUAAUAAUAAUGAUGAUGAUGAUAUCAAAAUAAAAAAUUUUGAGUUUGAGUCCCACCAGAAUCCUGGUUAAUUAAUUAAUAGUUUACGCUAUUAGAGAUAAAUGAUUGUUUUAUAUUCUUUGAUAGAAAUAUCAAUAUUUAGUUAGGAUUUGAGCAUUGGUUUGGCAACUAAAACUUGGAAUAAUGACCUGAAAAUGUUAUUAGUUCAAGGUUUUGCCGGUUUUUUCAAGUUUUCGACUAUUGAUUAAUUUUUUUUUGUUGAUUCUAAACAAAUCAAAAGAUCAGUUCACGGUCUAGUCCGUCCAUGCAACUGGCCAUAUAUAGUUUCAAAAAAUUAAAAAUUUUACUAGAUUAAUUGAUACGCUAUUAAUCUCAGUAAUAUUGCUAGCUAUACUAUAUGUUUAUAUUAUAAUACUAUACUAAAAGUUCAAUUAACUCCCACUUAAAGUUUAAAACUGGCUUGUUAAUUCCUGCUAUUUAAGAGGGUAUACAUGCUAGGGUGCUUUAAGAUUAAAUCUAGUUUCAAAAAAGGGAAUAGGCUCUGUAAGUCCAUUUGUACCCUCAUCCCAAAACUUUUUUAGUUGCUUAAUUUAUUUGAGGGCCCGGUGCACCGGUAACAAUGACCAAUGCUAUAUGUAUAUCCAAAAGAGAGUGUAUAAAUCUGUGGCACCUUACUUUUCAGAGAAUCAUCCAUUCCAAAGCUAUUCUAAUUCUGGCACGCUUAACCUUUUUAUCUUCUUGGGUCUAGUCACUUUUCAAUAUAUUAUAACCAGAUUAAGAACUUUCACAAAUAUCAGGUGAUGUAAGAUUCGUCUAGCUAGCCAUAGUGAAUGUUAUAAGGAGCCGCGCUCCAUCCAUAACGGUUAUCAGCCGGGGAACCGCGCUCCACCUAUAACGGUUAUCAGCCGGGGAACCGCGCUCUGUCCUCUGUAUGAUCCUGACUUAGCUAAAACUCAUUUCACACUUCCAACUAGUGAUUUACUCUGAUACCAUCUUAAUUUUUUCACGUUCUAAUUAGAAUUUUGCAAAUACUGAUUUUCAAAAAGAAAAAAAUCCUUUAGAAAAAAAUAAAUCCUUUUUUAAAUUAGUUUCGGGGCGUAACAAAAUCUUAUAUUUUCUGCAUCCAAGAGUGCAUUUUCACACUAAUAUUAAUGUUGCACCCUUCUUUUUUUUUAAUCCUUGGAUGGGAGUGAAUUUACACCCAAAAUUUUAGUCUAAGAAUAGCAUUUUUCCUAACAAAAGGGUGGUACAAUUAAGGCAUCAAACGAAAAGAAGAGAAUUAUUUCAAUCUUCUUGGUCAAGAGUGCUAAGAACAGUAAAAAAAAAAAGAUCAUAUUAAGAGAUUUAGUUCAAUUUCCCUGUUUAAGAGUGCUAAAAAUAGUACUAAAAAUAGUACUUAAAAUAGUGCUAAAUCAAGAUCAAAAUUUAUUUCGUAUUAUGGUAUUAAUUAAUUAGCUUAUUGUUUAAGUAAUAAAACACCUUCGUAUAUAUUAUGGUAUUAAUUAAUCAUGAUGUUUUAUUAGUUUUAGUAGAUCCAAAAAUUUGGAAAACUUUUUUUUAUGAAAACGAGUUAGUUAAUUGAUACGAUAGUUAUAUUCAUUAGAAUCCAAUAAUAAAAGUUAAUUAAAUAGAUAAUGCAAUAAAUUAUCAAGUUUGAUACUCCAUCUAGAAAAGAAAAUUUUCUAAAUUAUGGCAGCGGCACCAUAACAUUUAUGUCUCCAAUUAAUCAAAUAUGUCCAUGGAGUUUACUCAUCCCAUCAUGUGUUUUUUUUUAAAAAAUAUUAUUAUAUUUUUCUUUAAGAGAAAAAUUUUAAUUAGCUUGAGAUACUGCAACGCAGAUAUUGAUGUAACUGAAACUUUGUAACGGAUCACGUGGAGAUUUUAAAAAAUAUAGAAUGAAGGUGAUAUGUUAAAUUAUAUUAGUAAAAUUUGCAUUUCAAUUUCAUUAUUCUUUAAUUAUCACUACAACAAAAUUAAGUUAUAGAAACACAUGUUUAUGAACUUUUGUGUAUGUGUCCUAUUUAUACCAAAAUAUUUUAAAAAUCUACUAAUGCCUAAAUAUAAAGUCCAAUUCAACAAAAAUAAAAUGUUACUCUACUCAACCCACCCCACCCAGCCCAUUCGGCCCAAUUACAAACAGAAAAGAAAAAAAAAAAGAAAAAUCGAUUAUCAUCUCCCCUUCUUCCCUCACUCAAUCCACUAAAAUCCUAGACGAAGAGCCCUUCCCCCUCGUCUUCCUCUGCCACCGCAGAGACGAGAUAGAGUUUCGGCAGUUGCUAAAUGUUUAAAUAAGUGUUGGUAAAUUAGCAGCACUUUUUUAGGUUAUGGUGAUACUCUUUAACUGUCACUAUAUCCCUAACGAAUCCACAUAUAGCAACACUUUUUAAAAGUGUCGGUAAUUUAGCCAGCAGCAUUUUUUUUUAUCUAUACCGAUAUUUAAAAGUGUCGUUAUAAAUCGUUUUUGUUUUAGUGUUCUGGUAGUAUGGUUUUGGAUUAUUGUCAAAUCACUGAUAGAAUAUAAUUAAAAGAUCAUCGAAGUUAACCUUAAAUUGUUUGGUUGGGAGUUAAGGGGUGGAAUAACCCCUUAACCCCCAUUUUAUCCCCAAACACCCCAAAAAAUGGGUGAGGUUAGCUAACCCCACCUCAAAUAAAUUAUCCCGGGUUAGCUAACCCCACCUAAUCCCACCAAACUCCAACCAAACACUAGUUUCUAUUCAUAAUAACCUACUAUCUUUCUUAUCACACCUACUCCAACGAAUCAUUAUCCUUCUUUAUCAAUCAUUAUCUUCUUAUCCCACCUGCUCCAACCAAACACUAUUUUUCAUUAUUCUAGACUAACUCCAACCCCCAACCAAACACAAAAAAAUUUUAACCCCACUUUAACCCUGAACUUAACUCUAUCUCUGGAAUAGCUAUUUUUUCCUUAACCCCGAACCAAACGGAUUUAAAUUUUUUUUCUAAUCCAUCAUUGAUCAAAUCCUCUUUAUUUUUUCUGAUUUUUUAAAAGAGAAAGAUAGCAAGUUAUCUGCUUCAUUUAUUUUUUUAAAAAAUAAACUCAGCUAGAUAUAUAAAAUAAUUAGAAUCCAAAGUAGAGACUUUGAAUACCAAUCAUAAAGUCUUUA
rnacentral:lncRNA from 1 species